rnacentral:lncRNA from 1 species
GCAAGACCAUUGUUUAAAUAAUGGUAGCAUGAAGCCUUUAGUUCGCCGAGUUCAGUCACGGGAACUUGUAACCCAAGUGGGGGCAUCAAGGUGGGCGGAUGUUGGUUCGGUUGAGCAGGUAGGGCCUGAUGGGGUUAAAUGCUGGCCUGCCCGUUCCAAGUUGGGAGAUGAGUCUCGACAUCCGGGCGAAAGCCUGGGUGGCGUGGCUCCUAGAGUUGGAGGAAACCGCGUGAGUCUGGUUUCACAGAGCAGCGUCCACCUCCCGCUCCCGUCGGUGGAAGGACAACUGGCCGGUGCUCCACAGGUCCAACAACGCCUCCUCAGCCGCUCACAAUCUGACAUCCACCUUUUUUGUAAUUUCGUUUUCAAUUUUAAUCUCCAUUUGCAUUUUAAUUUCCUCUUUAUUAUAUUUGCAAGAUUUUACUCAGCAUUUUUUCAGUCAUUGUAGACAUUCCACUUGACAUCUGCUAAAGUCACCAUCCCAUAGUUUUCAAUUAGUCAAGAAUGUAACAUUUCUUUAUGGUGAACAAGAGGUUAAACUCAAAUGCUUGACAAUCUUAUCUUCUUGAUUCCAAAAUUUAGGCAACAGUCCCAUUUGGUUGCAUCUGGCAAGGUUUUUCUUCUUAAGCACAAACAAUCUUUCUUGGGUAUCCAACUGGAAGACUUUCUUGACUUCAUAAAUACUUUGUUAGAAAUAGAGAUGGACACAAUUGAAUCUGAACGUGAUAUCUCAAAUGUCGUUUAGAUCUUUAGAAUAAAUUGAUAUGACUUGAACUAGAGUAAGCCAACAUGGUCAGGAGGUGGACCGGCAUUGAGAAGUUAGCACCUUGAACUGAUGUUCUCCUUAGGACUCACAUGCUGGAUUGCCCUGCUGUUCUUAUUGUCUUAAUAACUAGACAUGUCCAACCACAAUUAUUAACAUGUGUAAAAGACUGUCAACCUGUAUCGGUUUGAAUUUUUAUACCUCUAUUUUAAUUCUUGGAAACUUGUGGAUUCUUUCUCAAAUGACAUCAUUAUGAAAUGAAGCGAAACAACACAUUAAAAACGGGAUUGUUCUUUUUCCUUCCUGGAAGACCCCAAGUUGUUUUAUGAGAAAUGAAGGUUAUGAAGAGGGUUGGAGGGCAAGCAAACAUGAGAAAAAAUGUUGAAGGCCAUAACUUAAAGUUCAACAUGGGAAUUGAAGUUUAAAAUUUGACAUCAACACAUACUUUUAGUUUGAGGUGAAUUUGAAACACUUCUCAAAAUAAGUUUUGGGCAUGAAUCUCUUAAGGUCAAGAGUUCAAUGCUUCAAUUGACACACAAAUUGGAGUUGAAAUGAGGAAGUUAUGACCAUUUGAAAUCAACUAGGCAUUAUAGGUACUACUUUUGAAUUUGAAAUUGUGAAUUCGAAAUGGAACUUACCAUUUCAAAAUCAUGCAAAUAUCGAAUUUGGCCACUACCAAGUGAAGAGAUCCAACUUCCCAAUUUCGAAUUGGGCCACUAUUGUCUACCUUGAAACUUACAUUUUGGGUAUUUCACCAAAACCUAAGUGGGUCACGAACAAUAGAAAAUAAAAAAUAUGUUAAUUUUUUUUUGUUAUUUUUAGGUAAUUGUUUAGGAAAUAAGCAGCCGAUAGGAGUAUGUCCCGUGUUAAUUUUUAUCUUGACUAUAAAAACUCAAAUUUUAGGUUUCAUAAAAACCACUUAGAGAAUUCUUAAUGAUUCUUGAGAGAGAUAAGAAGACAUUAGAAGAUCUUGGUUGGUUUUCUUCUCUUUUAUUAAUAAAAUAUUGUUUCUAAUUUCUUUAAAUUCAAGAAUGGUUCUUUAUCUCUUUUUAUCGGAUUUGUAUGAAUGAAAACACACUCAUGAGAGGGCUAAAAAAACCAUCUUAGGGUAUGAAACAUGAAAACCUAAGAUUAGAGCUAUGAAAAAAUAAUAGGUGAAAUUGGACUUAAUAAUGAGUUAAAUAAAGAGUUGACAUUAACUUCAAAUUCAAAAUUCAUUCUAAUAUUAGUUUGAAUCAGGGAUGAUAUAACUGUCCUUUCUUUGAUACUAGGCAUUCUUGGUCCCAAUCCUUUGUUAUAUGAGAUUUUACUAAUCUACCCUAAUUCAAAUUUACACUACCUAGUAAAGGCCUAAAUUCAUAUUUCAUAUCCAUACAUUAUAUUUUAUUAUUAUAAAAUAUUUUUAGGAUAAAGUUAAAUUAUGUUUAAUUAUAAAUUUAUACACAAUUCAUUUAUUGUUAUAAUUAAAUUAUACUAAUUAAGAUGGGAAAAAUAGUAAUAAAAUGGUGGAUUUAUACAAGUAUAAUGAUUUUUAAAAAAAAUUAAAAUUGAACUUAUUUUAAAAUAAAGUCUUUAUUAUGUAAUUAAUAUUAGAAUUAUUAAAUAAAAAAUAUUUAAUUAAUUUUAUUCUUAUCAUUAAGAUUUUAAGGUUAAGACAAAGUAUUUAAUGAAGGUUUUGAUGCCUUAGUAGAAAAUAUUUAUAUCAACUUUCUAAAUAAAUAAUGGUUUAAAAAUAAUUGUUACAUUUAUAUAGAAAUAAAAGUAUUUUUUAUAUAAAUUUAACUAUAACAUGUGAGAUUAUAUGCUUAAAUAAAUAUUUAAUUACUUCACUUGAACACUAUAUUUUUAAAUACAAAUAAUAAUAAUAAUAAAAUAAAAUUACAAUAUAACUUACUUAAAAUAUCAAUUGAAGAAAUCAAUAAUUUUCAUUUGCAAUUUUAUAAGAAACAAAAUGCAAUUUGAAGUAGUGGAUGGGGAUGGAACUCCCAACUUACAAAUAUAUACAAAUUAUAAAUACACAUGGCUUUUCCGGGACUCGUGUGUGUUUACAAGAGAAAUUUGAAACAACAUCUCGCAAUCCCACAUCGCCAAGGGAAUGAGCAAAACCAUUUUUUAAAUAAGGGUGGCAGAAAGCCGUAAGAUCGCCGAGUUAAGUAACGAGAACUUGUUACCCGAGUGGGGGCAUUAAGGUGGGCGGAUGUUGGUUUGGUUGAGUGGGUAGGGCCUGAUGGGGUUAACUUGCUGGCCUGCCCGUUCCAAGGUGGGAGAUGUCUCUCGACACCCGAGCGAAGGCUUGGGUGGCGUGGGUCCUAGAGUGGAGUACACUGCGCGAGGCUGGAUUCACAGAGCAGCGUUCACCUCCCGCUCCCGUCGGUGGAAGGGAUAACAGGCCGGUGCUCCACAGGUCCAAUAACGCCUCCUCAGCCGCUCACAAUCUGACAUCCACCUUUUUUGUAAUUUCGUUUUUCGUUAUCAGUUAGGUAUUGCGGUAUCAUGAUUCAUGAAUUCAUAGUUUUGCUAAAAUAUUUCACAAAUAGACAAUUUUCUUAGACGGAGGGAGAAAUAAGUGUGAAAUUAUAAUUUUAAUUAAUUUAUGAAGAAUUAAUUGGUUAAAAGGAUGAUCCUAAAUUUAUGAAUCUAACAUCUCUUAUGUUUUUAUUUUAAAAUUAACAUAUUUUUUUAUAUAUAUAAAUAAUAUUUUUUAUUUCAAGUAUUUACAUGUAGAUUUUAAAAAAGAGCUAUUUUUACAAAGAAAACAAUAAGGGUAUUUUUGUCUAAAUGAGGUCAAAAUAGGAUGAAGGGUUAAAUUUCAAAAAUUGGGUUUUUAAGAACUUUUUUAAUCAAAUAACUCAUCUAUGAAGUACAAUACACAUACUCUUCCAAGUCGUCAUUGAAAAAUAAAAUUAUAUUCUACCUUCAAAGCUAUCAUUUUAAGAGACACUUUACAUAUAGUUUACCAUAUAAGAAGUUGGUUUUAAUAUAAAUCUUUUUUUUUUUAUAAAGAAAACAACCAUUUUUUUAUGAAAGAAAAGUAUAUAAAAAGUUGUUUCUUUAAAACACAACUUUAAUAUAAAUCAUUUAAGAAAAAUAUAUGAAAGUUGUUAUUUCAAAAAGCAAUUUAGGAGUAAAUUGAUUUUUUAUGAAAAUUGUUGUUCAUAAAAAGAGUUGUUUUCUAAAAACAAAAAAUGGUUUAUAUUAAAGUUGUCUUUUAAAUAAACAACUUUUUAGUGAAAAAAUUAUAUGGAAGGUAUAUUUUAAAAUGACAACUUUUAAUAUGGAAUGUAAUUGCAUUUUUUUUUAAAGUAAUUACACUUUUGAAAAGUGGUUUUACUAAAGAUUUUUUGAGUAUAAAUUUAAUUUUGAAUUUUUAAUAUAUAAAUAGUAUGAAAAGUGUGGAAGUUUUCUUUUGUACUUUUACUAUAACCUUUUUUAAGAUUUUUUUUUCAAUUUGCUGUAAAUGUAAAAAAAAAACCCAAAAAACGAGGUACACUAUGAGGGUGUUUGAUAAAACUUAAUACUUAUUACUUAAUGACUUGAGUUAACUUUAAGUUAAAUUAUACUGAAGUUGUUGAUUUAAAACUUAUUACUUAAUUUUUACUUUAAGUAUUAAGGCUAUUUAAUAAAAUUAACUUAAAGUUUAGGGAUUAAUACACUUUGCCCCUUUAACCUAUCCCGUGUUUUGCACAUUGUCCCUUUAGGUUUAAAAUCAAAUACAUUGCACCCCAUGCUUCUUAAAUUGUAGCACUUUGCCUUGAUUGUUGAACGAUGUUAGUUUUAGUGGAUGGAAAUGUCACGUGUUGUGCACGUGAUUGACAAAUGAAGAUUACAUCAAGAAAAUCCCAACCCUAAAAAAACCCCAAAUAGAGAGCUUCGUCUUCGUUUUUCAUUCAAAGCCCUAACCUAUCGAAGCUUUAAAAGCCCUAACAAAUCUGAAACCCUAGAAUAUAAGAAGUAGAGCUUUGUGAAGAAAUGCAACCACAAGAGUAAUAGAGGAUCCUCCUGUUCAUUGCUGUUGUGGUAAGGAGGCUCGUAUUAUAACAUUUUGGACUAAUUUAAAUCUAAUGAGAAGGUUUUUAGGAUACAAUAAACUUAAGGUAAUAAUGUAUUGAUUUCCAAAUUGAUUCUUAGUCAUUUGUUCUUUGUAGACAUCUUAUUAUUAUAUGUGUUCAAUUUUUGGUACAAAGAUAUGGAGGAUGUGGAUUCUUCAUGCUCUAAUGUGUGAUAGGUCGAAGCAAAUCAUUCCUAGAUUGUUGAAUGGUCUGAAGAAGAAAGAGAAUGGAGUAUUUGUUUAUCGAAAAAAGUUAAAUGCAUGUUUUGGUUGAUGAUCAUUCCAUGGACGAUUUGUUUGGUUCUUCUAGUUAUCAUGCUACAAAGAAAUGGUGUAAGUUCUUCUAGGCAAGCUUUGUACCUAGUGAUACUUGGAAAUUUGUAAAUCCAAUGAAGGCUCUCUCCCAACUUGGUUUAGUUUUGUAUUUUUUUUGUGAAUAAUUUGAAUAGAUGAGAAGUUGAGGUUGGGGCCUUGAUGGAAUUAAGCUAUGAAAUCCAUGUUUUGUAAUUAAUUGAAGGACAGUAUUUGAAUUACCAUUUUGUAGAAUUGGCACCGCGAAAACCUCAAUUGGGAUAUUUAAUGUAUAAUAGAUUUGGAUGUUAUUCUUAUUGUCAGCCACUUCUCAUUGUUUUCCUUAAUUAUAUGCAUGUUACUUAAAUGAAAUAAGGGUUAAUCAACAUAAAUCAUUUGGUGCAUUGGCAAAAACUGUCUAAAAAUUGUCCAAAUGAACAUAAAUAGAUUUGGAUCCUGCUUUCUAUAUGAGAAUCAGAGGUUCAAAAUAUUAGUAACAUGAUCAGAAGUGCAUUUAACAAGGCCUAAUAAAAACUAUCUAGCUUGAUGUUAAGAAUUAUGUACAGUUUAUUACUAACAUAACCUUGUUCAGAAGUGCCUAAGGACAAAAUAUUUUGGCAUGGUGUCUCAAGAUACUACCAAGGUUCUUUAUCCAAGCAAACACAUAACAAAAUGAAUAUCCCUGCUUCAUGAAAAAUGAAUAAACACCACCUGCUACAAAAAUGAAUACCCUUGCAUCAAAUGACCACCUAUAAUAGGUCAUCUAUUUAACACACAAAUUGUCAAUCCGUAUAAGUAACAUGAACAAACACAAAUAACUAAUAAACUGUCAUGCAUGUAUUAAUAAUUAUAUAAGAUUAUACUAUUCUUAUUAAUUAUGUAAAUAGUAUAACCUAUAAAAAGAGUCAGGUAUAUAAGUAGAACCUAUUACUAAAGCAGGGCAUUACAUGAUAUUACAAAAAAAAAAAAAAAAUGUUUUCUAUGUUGCCUAAAAUGUAUAAGCAUUCAACAAAAAUAGUAUCCUUCCUGACUAAGUAUUAUUCCCAUGCAAUCAAGCCUUUAUACACAUUCAUAAAAAAAAACCUAAUAUUUAUCCCACAAAAUAGAUUAAAAUCUGCCUUCAAAACAUGUUUGAUCAUAUUACUUUGUAAUGCUUGAGACUGCACUUGACUGUUGAGUUCCAUGUUCCAUCUAUGUUUCAUUUCAACCUCUCCCUAAUAUGCAAGUUCUUUUACUGUGACCUUGGUUGCAACAUGUUUAGCGCUUCAUCAUGAAAUAAGUCCUUGUCAUUGGCUUCAAAAAGUGUCCAUAAGCCCUUUUGUAUGCUACCACAUGAUAACAUGAAUGCACAAAAUCUUCUAGUUCCAUAUUCCUAUCAAAUAUAGCUAAGACUGCAUGUGGACAAGGGAUACCAAUUUAGUCUCAUCUUCUGCAUUUGCAUGUUUGAUUAUCAAGAUCGACAACAUAUCUAUCACCAUGCAUGCAAUUGAUUUCAAACUUCAAUUCACCAACCCAAGUAGGUAUGCGACUUGUUGCCUCAACCUUAUUCUUCUCCAAAAUCUUAUGGAUAUUCGAGCAUAACAAUUUCUGCCACUUACUCAUAUAAGACCCCCUUGCAUUCAUCAUUUGCAUCAAAUAUACCCUUAUGUCCUCGAGCAUACUCAAUAUUGGCUUUUGUCUUGCUUCAACAAGAGUAACAUUAAACGACUCACACAAAUUGUUGAGUAAUAGAUCAUCCUUAAAUGAUGUACUAAAAUGGGAUCUUGACCAAUUCACUACUGACUUGGAGGCUAACUAGUUGUAAGCAUUUCCAUCUUCUUCAUUCAUCCACUCCAUGUGUCUAUUAAAAGUAGGAACAUUAGAGGCAAUGGUUGCUUUCCAUACUCGAUUUUUCAAUGCUAGUCCUUUGAAAUUUUGCUUAAAAUUGUUAUACAAGUGCCUCAAGCAAUGUCUAUGCUCAAAGUUCGACAACAAUUUCUCAAUAGUAGGCACCAACCCCUACACAUACACACACAUACUUCAAUUUGUUAAACCAAUAAGUUUCUCAAUAACACACAUAAAUGAAAAGUAACGAUAGUGGCAGCUUUAAGGAGAUGAAUGCACAAUAGAAGGAAAUUCUGUAUGUAUGGACAACCCAUAAAAUCAUACAAAUAUCUACCAUUUUUUUUAUAUAUAAAUCAGCCCCUAAAAUUAGAACAAUAAAUUAAAUGUAUCUCAGAAUAAUACCUAUAAUUUAGACUAAUAAUUCCAAGACCCCAAUGUAACAUCAAUGUUUCAAGCAAUCAUUCAAUCACACAAAUCCAAAUAGUAAAAUACUAAACUAGAAAAGGAAGAGUGACAUUAUCAUGUUUAACACAAUUAAGUUUAUAAUAUUCUCUAAAAAAUACAUAAUACUUAACAAAUACUAAACUAUACCUUUUGCUUAUCACUAAUGAAAGCCCAAGGCUUGGAAUUGUUAAUGGAGAGGCCUUCAAUUAAUAACUCCAGAAACCAAGACCAACUAUCUUUGGACUCCACCUCUACAACAACAUAACAAAUAGGAAAGAUUUAGUUAUUUGGAUCAAUGUCAAUAGUUGUCAAUAGUUGCCCAAGGUGUGGUCUUUUAAUAUGGCAUCCAUUAAGACCAACCAAUCGUCUACACCCAAAUAAAAACCAUUUUUUGCAUGCAUCGAAGCAUAUAUAUAUAUAUAUAUAUCCUUUAAAACACGAGAUUGUCUUCAACCAAUUUUGUUUUCAAAAUCAUUGUAGACCCUGGAUUUGUUAUUCUCAUCUUAGCAUAAUAGUCUGGAAGUUUAGCAUAUUGGUCAAUAUACUUUCCUUAAAUUUGUUUCAGUGUCUUCCUCUUUAUUCUAUAUGUUUGACUAGGAGAUACCUCAUAUGCAAAUGAAUUUCUCAUUGUGUUCACGAAUGCUCCAAUAAAUAACUUCGGGUCGUUUCUAAAGUGGUUGACAUAUUUGUUACACAAGUACCUUGACAUGGCAUUAUCAUUUUUUUAAUAUCCUACUACAAGUAUGUUGUUCAUUAUAAAUCAUCACUUGAAAUGUUUUUUCAUCCCUAACUUCAGCUGCAUAAACUAUUGUGAACCCUAGAUUACUCUGUUCUCAUAUCCUGGAUCUCAUAGGGUGUAUGCAUCUAUCCUUAGGGCUAUCUAGAUCUAGCGCAAUAGAAAAAAAUGGUUUCAAAAACCAUUAAAGAAUAAAGAUCUAGAGAAAAACAUGUCCAUACUUGGAUCUGGAUGUUCCCAGAUCAAUUCCUUAUAGUGAAAAACAUGCCUAGAAAAAUUGGAGAAUCUCUCAUCAUGUUGUUACACGUGUGCGCGUCCCAUGCGAUUCUUGUGCGCAUGGCAUGUGUAUAUCAUGUGUGAAUCCUAUGCAUGCCACUUGUACGCAUCCCAUGCAAUUCUCGUGCAUGUGACUUGUGUGAUUCUAGUGCACUUCUCAUACACCCAAGAUCUUCCGCCUGGGGAUUCUUCCUUGUGUCUAGGCACUAAGAUGGUGGAGAUCUCAAGGGUGGAGACUAAGGUUUUCUCUCUUGACUAAAAAAGGAAAAUGACAAGACCUAGAAACCCUAACGCCUAAAAGGGUAUUUAUAGGUUUCUUAUUGAGCUUAAGUGACUUGAGCCCACCAUGGGCUUGGGUCACUUAAUCUAUCCUAAAAAGAUUGAUAAUUGAUUAAUUAACCAUAUAAGACCCUAAUUAAUCAAUUACCUCAAUCCAGACAUACCACUCACCUAUCCUUGUGUAACAUUGUGUAAUUACCAAAACGUCAUUAUGCACAAAAGUGACUAAAAACUCAUCCAACCCUUAUAAACCGUGUCAUCAAGGAAUAUAAACUCAGAGUGAGGACCAUUAGGACCAAUUGAAGUGCUAGCUCCCUCAAAAUCAAAUUUUAAAAUUGACUCAACAUCUCACUACAAAAAGUCAAUUGCACUCCAAUACCCUAUGUAUAUUACAACGAGACACCAAGUUCUCGAGUCCGUGACCUACUAUCCACUACAUACAAACUCCCCAUGAACUAGUAUCUAUAAUCUAACAAGGUAGUGUCAUCACAUAUCAAGAUUACUUCUCAAAUCCUUGAGUUACAGAUCCCACUUAUUAUGUAAUCAACUGACAUACUCUAACUCCAAGAAGCAUAUGUCAAAUUUCAUUAAGAGAAUUAAUGUGGUCACAGAUUUCAUGAUCACAUGUCUUUUGGAUCUCCCAAUGGAAUACACUGUCUCAAUUCCAUGAGAUAUCAUGGUGUCUUUAUUGAAAAUACUUGUUGUCACCAGUCUCCAUCAAUAAUGACCCAAUCCAUAUGGAUAUAUGACCACUUUAGGAUCUCACUUAUAGGUCAAAGUCUCCUAUUGAUUUUGGAACAUGCUCAAUAUCCUCAUAAGGUUGAGAGUCUAUGCAGUAUAGUAGCUUGAUGAACCAUAACAAUUUAUAAUCUUGUGCCAUGAUUCACCAUAGGUCUUAUCCAGUAUGUAUCACUUACACUAUUACACUCACCAUAAGAAACUCAUAUCGAUGGCCAAGAUAAGUCAUCUCUCUAAUUAGGAGGUGGUACACUACAGUCUCUACUGAAUUGCCCAAAUUCAUGAAUCAAUUAUGGACAACUUAUCUACUUACAAGGAACCCAUGACUUAUAUCUUCUAUGCAACUACUAAUGUACCCAAGUCAUGUACAAUGUAAGAUACAUGGAUUGAAUGUUCAAAUCAAUAUCAAUACACCAAAAUGAUAGUAAGAGGAUGGUUAAGUCUAACUUUGUUACAUUAUGUUUUGGUUUUAAAGGUUCAAUCCCAACAUAAACAACCUAAGGGCAUCCCUUUGAGCACACUACCCUUACUCUAUCCUUCUCAUUUUUAUGAACUUCACAUUUCUACCAUUCUUUCUGGCAUAUUCCUUCACGACAUCUCUAAACUCAGUUGCACAUGUGAAGCGUAGCCCCACACUAAACUCAAGAUUUGUCAUGUCUGUAUCACCCACAAAUUAAGGGUACCGAGGCUUAUCUCUAUUAAUUUCUUCCUCACUAUCGCUGCUUAAAUUCCUUAUAUCAUCAUCACAAAUGUUUUUCUCAUCCUCCACAUCAUUCAUUGUUAUGUAUUCCUCUUCAACUCUCUUCCAUUUAUCUUAUUUGCCUCUUACCCCAACCCACUCUUCAUUAGCAUCUACAUAAUUAUCAUACAAAUCAUCAUCAUCUCUAAUUGGAUAUCCAUCAUCAAUAAAGUCACCGUCUCCAUAUGAAUCUCUCUCAACUUCUUCAUAAUUUGAUCCACAUUUAUCUUCAUAUUGAGGUGUUUAAUCAACAUUAAGUUCUAGUUCUAUAUUGGUCGUACAAUCGUCACCUUCACACACACUUUCACCAAGCUAAUUGCAAACAUUUGAAGACACAAUCUCACUUUGAGGAAUAUGUAAAACCUCUCUAUGCUUGACAAACACUCCUACUUCCUUAUCCUUUGACAAUGAGCUGCACAUUUCUAAGACAUUUUCAUCUGUUAAGCACCAUAUUAAUUCUCCAUUAGUCUUAGCAUAAUAAUACCCCAUGCAAUCUUUAUAUCCUAAUUGAAACAACAUCUGAUCUAGCUCAAUCAAAUUCAUCAAAUCUUUGUCAAAAUUAUCAACAUAAUCCACUUUCUCACCCACAUAAUCACUCAUUUUUGGUACAGGUUCAGUAUUGCCCCUAAACUUCCCUCCCUAAUGUAGUUUGAUAGUAAAAUAGUCUGAAUGACAAUUUGCAAACAUAACCCAACAUAAUUCAUAUUACAUAAAUUGAUGAAUGUAAGGUUGAAAAUGAAAAAAAUAAAAAAUAAAAAAUGUAAUACCAAACUGGAGAUAAACACAUUUGAAAAUAAAAAUUCAUAGCUAUGAAAAGGAAACCCUAAACAUCUUAAAUUUAUUUUUCCCAAAUUUUGUUAGUUAUCAAAACAAAACCCUAACCUUAAACACUCAAAAUUUCAUCAGUUAUUUUCUUAGCCAUUAAAAAAUAAAAAAAUUGAAGCAAAACAUUAGAAGAAAAAUGAAAUUUACUGUUAAAAUCCAUUUCAAUCGAACUCUUAGCCCUUCAAUGUCUGCAUUAAGUCCUAAGAGCUAUUUGGGGCUUUUUGGAUUUUGAUGGGUUAGAGAUUCAAACAAAGACGAAGCCUAAGAGCUAUUUGGGGCUUUUUUGAGGUUAGGAUUUUCCAGAUCUACCCUUCAUUAGUCAGUCACAUGCACAACACGUGACAUUUUCGUCCACUAAAAUUAACACCGUCCAACGAUCAAGGUAAAGUGUUGCAAUUUAAGAAGUAAGGGGUGCAAUGUGUUCAAUUUUAAACCUAAAGGGGCAAUGUAUAAAAACACGGAAUAGGUUGAUGGAACAAAGUGUAUUAAACCCUAAAAUUUAUCAUAAAUCAUCAAAUUGACAUAUUUAUCCUCAUAAAUUAUAAUUACGGUAAAAGAUGUCGAGUAACAAUGGAGAUUGUGGAAUAGAAAAAAAUAUUGUGGAGGUAAUUAGAGCAAAUAUAGAUAAAAAGGUAAAAUAAAAAUAUGACUUAAAAAUAAGUUAAUUGUUUUUACUGAUUAUUUAAUGUUAUUUUUUAUUUUAAGUCAUAUCAUUAAGUUAUUUUAUUAAAUAUACUUCAUUUACUUAAUAACUUAAAUUAGGUUAUUAAUACACUUUAUGUUAUUAAGUUGAUUUAUUAAACACUCACUAUGUUUUUUACUUAUUAACCGUUAACUCUCUCAUGAAAUAUUAAAAAAUAACACAUUCUCUAAGGGUAUGUUUGAUUCCGAAAAAUACUUAGAAAAGAAAAAAAUAUUAAGGAAAGUAGUUUUCUUGUGUUUGAUUUCAUCGUGAAAAAAAUACUAAAAAAAUUCAAAUAUAAUUAAAAUUUAUCAAAAAUUUAUAUAUUUUUAUAUUAUUUAAUUUUUAUAUAGUUGAGAGAAUUAAGGAAAAUUAAUUUUAAGAAACAUAAAAAAUAAUUUAUUGAAUUUAAACUUAAUUUUUAUUCUCUUCCUUUUUUUUUUCUUCUUCUAUUUUUCCUCCCUAUUUUCUUUUUAUUCUUAGAAAUUCUUCAUUCAAAGCCAUUUGCAUAAUGUCCUUUUUCUUGAACACUCACGUUCUGGUAAUUGUUCUUGAUUUGAUCGCCUUCAUAUGCUAAAGGUUAAGGGAUUUUUAAAUGUUGUCCAUGGUGAUGAGAUCUAGGAAUAUUUUUCUUUUUCAACUUUCUCCAGGUCUUUGAAUAUAUUUUCUUUUUGAAGGGCACCUAUGUGUUUUGUUUGUGAAUAUUCCUAAGCAUGCCGAUAAGAUCUAAGAUUGUCUCCUUUAGAGUUCACGAUGUCCCUUUGUCUUCAGCAAAUUGGUUUAUGUACGAGAUUUCUAGGAAAUUUCUGCUGUAGACGAUGAGACGCAACAUAGAUAAGGGGCUCCUGGUGGUUGUAGCUGCAACCACCACUGCUCAUUUCAUCAAGUUGUGGCAGUGGAAUGGCAGAGAAAUUGGGUGCUGCUGGAUUCAUUAUCUGCUCCAAAUGGCCAAGAAUGUUGAUUUUGUCACCCCUUCACAAGGGUGAGUUCACCCACUAUGGCAUUGAAACUAGAUUGAUUGUAAAUUCAAUUUUGUAUUUUAAUAUAUGACUAGUAUGAAAAUUAUGGAAGUUUUCUUUUACACUUUUACUAUUACCCUUUUUAAGAUUUUUUUUUUUUUUCAAUUCGAUGUAAAUGUAAAAAAAAACUACUAUAAGGUGUUUGGUAAAACUUAAUACUUAUUACUUAAUAAUUUAAAUUGACUUUAAGUUAAAUUAUACUAAGUUAUUGACUUGAAACUUAUUACUUAAUUUUUACUUUAAGUAUUAAAGUUAUUUAAUAAAAUUAACUUAAAAUUUAUUAUAAAUCAUUAAAUUGACAUAUUUAUUAUCAUAAGCUAUAACUAAGGUAAAGGAGGUUGAGUAACAAUGGAGGUCAUGGAGUAGCAAAAAUAUCAUGGAGGUAAUUAGGACAAAUACGAAUAAAAAGAUAAAAUGAAAAUAUGGACUUAACAAUAAGUUAAUUGUUUUUACUUAUUACUUAAUACUAUUUUUUAUUUUUAGUCAUAUCAUUAAGAUAUUUUAUCAAAUAUACUUAAUUUACUUAAUAACUUGAAUUAAUUUAUUAAGUCGGUUAACCAAACACCUGCAAUGUUUUCUACUUAUUACUGCUUAUUAGUGGUUAACUCUCUCAUGAAGCAUUAAAUGAGACAUUCUCUAAAUAUAUUCUUAGAAAUUCUUCAUUCAAAGCCAAUUUGCAUAAUGUCCUUUUUCUUAAACACUCAUGUUCUGGUAAUUGUUCUUGAUUUGAUCGCCUUCAUAUACUAAAGGUGAAGGGAUUUUUAAAUGUUUCCAUGGUGAUGAGAUCUAGGAAUAUUGUCUUUUUCAACUUUCUCCAGGUCUUUGAAUAUAUUUUCUAUUUGAAGGGCACAUAUGUGUUUUGUUUGAGUAUUCCUAAGCAUGGAGAUGAGAUCUAGGAUUGUUUCCUUUAGAGUUUAUGAAGUCCCUUUGUCUUCAACAAAUUGGUUUGUGUGAGAUUUCUAGGAAAUUUCUGCUACAGACAAUGAAACACAAGAUAGAUAAUGGACUUCUGGUGGUUGUAGCUGCAACCACCAUUGCCCAUUUCAUCAAGUUGUGGCAGUGGAAUGGCAGAGAAAUUGGGUUCUGCUGGAUUCAUUAUCUGCUCCAAAUAGCCAGGAAUUUUUAUUUUGUCACAUUUCACAAGGGUGAGUUCCCCCACUGUGGCAUUGAAACUAGAUUGAUUGAUAUAUGGUUUUUCUUUUUCAUUUUCAUUUUAUUUUUGUAUUUUUUUUGUUAGUUAUAUAGUUCAUUUCAUAAUUUUGUUUCAUUCAUUGUGAUUUUGGACUUUACAUGCUUUAAUUAUGAUUUUCAUUGUCUAUGAAUACGGUUCUCCGCAAAUCAACCUGGAAUGAUACAAGUAAUUAUUGAUGAGUUAGACAUAGAGUAGACUUAUAUGAAAAUCGAAAAUAUGAUUAAUUUGGGAAUGAAUUUUAAUUGAAUAUCAUAUAAUAGGGAAAAGGAAACUGAUUGUGAAAAAGUAAAAAAAAUAAAACUUUAUAUAGGAGUGCUCAAGCACCACAAAUGCUCAAGCUGUCCUAAAGACGUUCAAGUGCUGUUAAGGGCUGCUUAAGUGCCUAGAGCGCUUGAGCACCCUUGAGAGGCACUCAAGUGUUUGAAGCUUAGAUAAUAAAACAUUUUUUAAGAAAAUUACCAUUUCUAACUUCUAUCCAUGUGUAUAUAUAUGUGUGUGCCUUAUAUUAUGUGGUUUUUUAAGCAUCUUAAGCAUUAGGUCAUCAUCCUUUGCGUUUAACCGGACAAUCUCAAAAGAUCUUUGGUUCAUGAGUUUGUGGUAAAGGAUUACAUCCUGCUAAGGUGUUUGGGAAUCCACUAAGGAGCAUAGAGGUAUUGCAUCGUAGAUGUGAGAGUAGGUAUAGGUAUUAACAGUGUCAAUUACGAAGUCUGUGUACCUAUUUCUUCAAACUUAGUGGCGUAUAGCUUUACAAUAUCUGAUGAUCCUGUGUUUUUUAUAUCCACAAAGUCUCUGGGAGACUUUGUAAGUUGUUUUCCAGUAAAGCACUUGUGUAUUUGUGCGGUUGAACUUCUUGGAUUAAUUAAUAACUAACAACUUAAUAAAAGAAUUCAUAAAAAAAUUAAAAUGUGAUUUUUUGGGCUAAAUUAAAAAGGACUACCUAUUCACACCUAUCUAGGUAGUUCAACGGUACAGGAUCUCAAACUUUCAUUUUCCUCAUCAGAGAUUUUAGCAUGAUGAAACACAAUGUGAAAUGUGAAAUCCCUUUUGGAAAACUAAGUUGAAAACUCUUUUAAUGGGCAUACUCAGAAGUACUCUUCUUCAAACUAGGAUUAACAAAAAGGAGGAUUUGGGAUGGGCAGCCCCUAUUCGAAUGUCCCCAAUGGAAGCAGAACCCAUCCCAACCAACUUUUAGCAUGGCAAUGUUAGAAAAUUAAUAACAUGAUAUGGGGCCACGAGGGAUGGGAAUGGGACAAAAGAAAAGAAAGAGUGAGAUGACACACCACAUGAAAACUAGAAUUCAUCCAUAAGAAAACUUAGAUCUUAUUUAACUCCAAAAAAGAUAAGCAAAUAAAAAUUCAAAAUUCUUGGAGUUUUUAGUUAAGAAAAUGAUAAGGUAUGAAAAAAAAAACACAUUAAUACGUUAAGAGUAAGAAACAACAAGGAGUAUAUUAAACGAAGCAGGGUGUUAACCAACUAAUCAAUUAGUUAAAACCAUAAUGGAUCAAGUUAUCAUAUGUUACUUUCAUGCAAAAAGGUUUUACAGAGCACUUUUACUAAUGUUGCCUCUAUUUUGUUUGUGUGCAUGUUUGCUUCACUCUUUGAGGAAACAGGACAAUGUGUUCCAUGGUCAAAACUAUGCCCUCAUUCCGUUCAUGCUUUCCAGAGGCAAGAUCUACAGAUUGUAGCCCUUUACCGCAUAUAAGUCAUGCAGCACAACCACUGCCAUCACUACCAGAAGCUGCCUCAAGUAACCAGCACUUUACAUUUCAACCUGAUGUCGUAAUAGACAUUCCCACUGCAUAUGGAUAUUAUAUAAGUAAUGUACCAAAUGAACGUCCUGGUGUUAGUAACCAAGGCCGGGAUGAAUAUGGAAGUUCACCUCUUGCUGCUGCUGUGCAUUCAGGUUAAUUUCUAGUACAUUCUUGAAAUUUUUUGAAUGAUCUUUACUCCAAUUUAAGCUUAUGAAAAUCCCUUUUGGGCAUUUGGUACCAUUGUUCUUUUGAAUGUGGAAGCAUGCAUGUUUGUUUAUGCAAAUGGUUCUAGUUUUUUUGUGGAGCAGGAUACUUGUUUACUUUCUGAUCACCAAUUGGACAUAUUGGAAAGAUUGGUUGUCCUUCUUUGUCUUUGCCAUUCAAUAUAAAAAUGUUCUUUGUUUAAAAGAUGGUGACUUUCUCUGCAGUAAGAAUAGUCUCGAAAUCUGCAGGUAGCUUUAGAAAAGCCUAUGUCUGGGGUAAAAUUGUGCCUCUCUUUUUCUUCAUAGCCAGUGGCUGCACUUUUCUGAUCUGUUGCAAGCUUAAGGCUCUUGAAUCUCAAAUGAUGAGAUGAAUUGUAAGAGAUUGUCUUCUAUGCUUGAAAUGUUUGGAUUUUCCAUAUGCUUUUGGUAACCCUCCUCUUAUUCUUUUAUGUAUCUCCAAGCUGCUGUCUGUGGCCUCAUUUUGCAUGUUUAAUCUGUUUGAGCUUUUAAGUCCUCUGUAUAUCAACUGUCAAGUGGUUGUCCUUUUACCAUUGGGAAUCAUCAGCAUUUCUUUCAGGUUUAACAUCCCAGCUGGGCCCUGAUGUUUGAAUUAUGGCAGGGGAAGUUAGCAGUGGUUUCAGGACUUAUGCUCCUCUGUAUCUUGCUGCACUCAGUGGUGACUGGGAUGUUGCCGAGAGAAUCUUUGAGUCAGAUCAUCAGGCUGUGAGAGCAAGGAUCACAAGGGCUCAAGAGACACCUCUUCACAUUGCAGCUGGGGCUAGACACCUAACCUUUGUUGAGAACUUAGUAAGGAUGAUGACCCCAGCUGACCUGGCACUACGGAACAAAGUUGGAAACACAGCCCUAUGUUUCGCUGCUGUAUCUGGUGUGACAAAAAUUGCAGAAGUGAUGGUAAACAAGAAUAACAGAUUGCCACUGAUCCGAGGUAGUGAAGGAGCAACACCUCUCCAUAUGGCUACUUUGUUGGGCCACAGAGAGAUGGUUUGGUAUCUUUAUAAUAAGACAGAUAGCAACCGUCUAACAGAUAGCAACCGUCUAACAGAUGAAGAUCAUCAUGGGCUUCUUAUUGCGGCUAUCACUUCUGAUCUAUUUGGCAAGUAUCAAUUUUCCGUUUAUCUAUGAACCAUUUAGAUAGGCAUUUACAUUCAAUAUUUUGUAUGAAUAGAAUCAUUAGAAUAUGAAUGCUGUUUGUGAUACUUCCUACUGAGAGGAUGUAAAUGGCUUCAAACUUUUGUCAUUCCCUAUUUUUUUUUUCUGACAUUACUUAUAUUGAUCUUGGUAACUAGUUUCAUACUUCAAAAAUUUUGUGCAUCAUCAUAUUUAAGCACAUAGAAUUGUUGCUGCAUUAAGCAUCUCAUGGGACUGGAUGCAUGAUGAUGAUGAUGGUUAAUAAUUGUUUACUAAUAUGCAGAUGUAGCCUUGAAGAUAGUUCAGAAACAUCCUAAAAUAGCUACAGCUCGAGGGAGAAAUGGAGAGACUGCUCUUCAUAUACUGGCCCGGAAGCCUUCAGCAUAUCAGAGUGGAAGUCAGCUAGGAUUUCUGCAGAGAUGCAUUUAUGCAUGUUAGUAUAUUCAUUUUUCGUUUCUGAUCACCAUCCUACAGUUUCCCAAUUAGUUAAUAAUGUACCAAUUUUUUUUUCCAUGAACAAGAGGUUAAACUCAGAUGCUCGACAAUCUUAUCCUCUUGAUUCCAAGGUAUUUCUUUUCUUUAAUUAUUAAGGAUAAGCACAAAGAAUCUUUCUUAUGACCAUGACAUGUCCCAACAAUAUGUGACAAGGCAUGGCCACAGGCUUGAUGCAUGCCAUGACUCUUGACACGGCGCAUGCUAAGCAACUGGAAGACCUUCAUGACUUCAUAAAUACUUUGUUAUAAGUAUAGGUGGACAAAAUUGAAUCUGAACAUAAAAUCUAAAUACUUAAAGUAUGUCAAAUGUUAUUUAGUCACAAGGUGGACUGGCAUUGAGAAAUUAGCACCUUGAACUGAUGUUCUCCUUAUCUGAGCCAGCUUGUUUUUCUGCCCUUAGGAUUCAUAUGCAGGACUGCCCUGCUGUUCUUAUUUUUUAAUAACUAGACACGGGCACCGACAAGUAUAACAUGUAUAAAAGGACUGUCAACGUGUAUUCUUUUGAAUUUUUAUACUUCUAUUUUAAUUCUUGAAAACUUGCAGAUGCGUUCUCAAAUGACUUAAAACUGCAUAGCUUCCAUUCAUCAUUAUGAAAUGAAGUGAAACAGCACAUUACAAAAUGGAUUGUUCUUUUUCUUUCCUGAAAGACCUCAUGUUUGUUAUAUAUCUAAAUGUUGCAUAAUCUGUUGAGUAAUGAUUUGUGACUUCUUUUUUUAUUUUAUAUUGCUUCAUUUUUUUUCUUGAAGGUCUUCAUGUGGAAUUGUCAGGCAACUCUUCUGUGAUCCAUAAAGGUGCUCUCCCUCACUCUCUCUCUCUCUCUCUCUCUCUCUGUGAGAAAUCUAUGCUAUUAAAAGCUAAAGUGCAAAUACCUUAGUUGUGCAUGAUUCUAAUUGUGGGUCCUUCAUAUGAUAAAGGUUGUAAGACUUUAUUUGGAUCAUAGAAAGUUUGAGGGAAAAGUUGUAAGAAAAGGAAAAAAAUAAGGGUGAAGGAAAGUCAACUUUAUUUUCUUAUCUUUCUUCAAUUCAUUCUUUUUAUACAGAAAAUGAAGAAUUUAAUUAUUUUUCUUCAUAUUUUCCAUGGAAAGUCAACAAAGAGAAAUGAGAUUAUGUCCUUUUUUCUUCGUUCUUUAUACCUUCUGAGAUUCAGAUGGAAGUAAAUUUGGUAAUAGAGGAAACUUAGUCAUCUUUUGUCUUUUUUUACUUGUGAUUGUAUUACGUGUUGAAUUACAAUUUUUUCCAAGUUUGACAAGUACAUGAGUGCAUUUGUAUUAUGUUUUUGAGUUUCUACUACAUUUAACAUACUAAGAUGUCUUUUAGUAUCUCCUACAAUUUUGUCUAAAAUUGCCAUAUUUAUAGCUAAUUACCAAAAUUAUUAUUAGAGAAAGACAGUUACUUAAGCAGCUUCAUGCCUUAAGAGGGGUAAGACACCAACCAGUUUCCUCAUUAAAGAUAGCAUAGAUAGGUAGCAUCUGAUUUUUGUUAUUAUUAUUAUUAAUUGUAUAACAAUUAAAAAGAAGAAAGCCAACUCUGCAACAGGACAAUGUGAAGCAGUUCUGGAUGGUCCAUUGUCACAAACCAGCUUUAACUCACUUUUUCAUUGUAUGAUCUUUCAAAGUCUGCUAAAUUAUUAUGGUGGUGUAUGAAUUAUUUUUGCUUCAUACAACAUGCAGUUCCCUUCAUCAAGGUAGUUUAUGACCAAAAAUUGAUGCAUAUUCAAGCCCUUGAGCUGGUGAAGUGCCUCUGGAGUGAAGUUCUUUUAAUGAAUGAGUUACAGGUUGGAGAACUGAUUAGAACACCUUCACGGUUAUUAUUUACUGCUGCAGAAUUGGGAAUCGUAGAGUUCUUAAUUGAGCUUAUUCAUGCAUAUCCUGAUCUUAUUUGGAAAGUUGAUACACAAAGUCGGAGCAUAUUUCAUAUUGCAGUUGUGCAUCGACAAGAAAAGGUUUUCAAUCUCAUACAUGAAAUAGGAGCACUCAAAGAUUUGAUAGCAUCUUAUAGAGAUGAAAACAAUAAUAAUAUGCUUCAUUUGGCUGGAAAACUUGCACCAUCAGAUCGACUCAAAACUGACUCUGGUGCAGCAUUGCAGUUGCGGCGAGAAUUACAUUGGUUUAAGGUAAAUAGUUUGUCUCUGUUUCUUUUUGUUUCUGAUAUUUGGCACUAUAGAUGGUCAAGACCACUAGAUUUUUUUGUCUAGAGAAAUUUCUCAUAUAUUUGAUAAGAAACAAACUAAUUCAUUAAUAUGAAUAUUUUGUACCAAUGAAGAAGGAGAAACCCUUGGAAAAUAUAUGAAAGCUGAUCAAAAGAAUAAAGAGAGUGAACUUCUUGAGUAGGAACAAUAGGAUAACUAUGCAACUUAAGAAUAUGAUACGAACUUUUGCAAGUUAUAGCCACUCUACACUCCACAAGAGGGUGAAAAAUCCCUGACAAAAGAAGCCUAAUUCUUGGUACCUUUUUUACCUAAAUGAUCAGCGACAUGAUUAGUUAAACUAACAGAGCAAGAAUAUGAACCGUCCAAAUUGCUAAAUUUGGCAAUGCCAUCCAUCAUACCUCUAAGGCCUAUCUCAAAUUUAGUCACUCAAGAUAUCAAAAUAGCAUAACCUCUUCCAUUCAUAAGUUAGAAAGACAAAGCCUUGCUAGUAGCAAACCUUCUAAAAGAGCCAAAAUCUUUUCCUCAAUGAUGAGCCAACAUUAUACCACUAUGGCGUCUGAUUGCACCUCAAUCCCAUCUGACCUGGGUUAUCCAUAGCACAUCCAUCAAAAUUUAACUUAAAUGAACCCAUAGGGGGCAGAAUCUAUAUAGAGGGAGAAAAUUCCAAUCUAAGUAUGUUGACCUACGUACUGGGUUCCAGUCAAGUUGUAGAACAUGAAGAAGAGUACCCUCGAGAGGUAUAGAAGUAGAUGCCUAGAAAGAAGAAAAAUAAAUCAUACCCCAUAUUGUCACCGAAUUCCUCCACUUUUCCUAAAAAAAUCUUUUAUCUCUUUUCCACCAAACUACUUGAAUCAUUGUGAGACAAAUAAUAUGCCAAAGUAAUCCACCCUUGAUUGUACUCCCAAACCCCUCACAAAAUAGUCAUCUUGUCACUCGCAUAGUUUGGAUAACCUAUGUUACGACCCCAAAUUCACUGGACAAUUACUUCUUGUUGCCAUAAAAGUCCUUUUUAUAUAAACAAGUGCUGAGGAAAACAUAUGAACUAUUCAUAUUCUACAAGAGAAACAAGCAUGAGACUAUUUCAUCUUUGUAUUCUGCUAGAUCCACCUACUCCAGUGUUUUCCUUCAUGUGUGCAUCACUAGUUUUCUCAAGGUGGGGAACAGAUGUGACAAAAAUGGAAUGGCAUUUAAAUCCAUCCAUAUUGCGUUUAUCCUAUUUCAGCAUUCUGAAAUGCCUAAUGAGAAAAAUUAUAUUAUUUUCAUUAUAAAUCUUGUAUGUUAUUUUAAAUUUGGUUUAAGUCUAUGCUUCUUCUUUAACAUGUAGGAAGUGGAAAAAAUUGUCCAACCAUUGUAUAGGGAAAUAAGAAACUCUGAAGGAAAAACUCCUCAGACUCUAUUCAUGGAGGAGCACAAGGUAUUAGUACGAGAAGGGGAAAAAUGGAUGAAAGACACUGCAGCAUCCUGCAUGCUCGUUGCAACACUCAUUGCGACUGUAAUGUUUGCUGCUUUUUUCACAGUUCCAGGCGGCGACAAUGGUAACACUGGCAUUCCUAUCUUUCUAAAAAGAAGGUCUUUCACAGUUUUUGCCGUAUCGGAUGCCCUGUCAUUUGUAUCCUCAGCCGCUUCAAUACUGAUGUUUCUCUCCAUCCUUACUUCACGCUAUGCUGAAGAAGAUUUCCUCCACUCACUACCUAAUAGGUUGACAAUUGGGCUUGGGACUUUAUUCAUCUCUGUAGCAACCAUGAUGAUAGCAUUUUGUGCUACCCUUUUUCUUGUUUUGGGCCAUGGACUUCAUCAGGCAAAAAUUCCAAUUGCUUUGGUUGCUUGCAUUCCUGUCAGCCUGUUUGCUUUACUACAAUUUCCCCUAUUUGCAGAUAUGGUCAGUUGCACCUAUGGCUCUAGAAUGUUUUUCGGUCCAAGUAGACAUUUGUUGCACUAGAUUGGAAUAACACGAGUUCUUGAUUGUAAACUGUAUGAUAUUUGAACUUUAUGACCAGGGCCAUGGAGGAAUAAUAUAUGUAUUAUUAUUCCCAAUUAUCAUAAUCUUUGUCUAAGCCUCAAGCAAUGGGCCUCAUAGGCUUGUUCAUGUACAAUCUAAAGUGGGAAUUACUUCAAAUUGCCCCCUGAAAUAAUAUCAGAUAGCCAGAUCUAUGACUUUCUGUUCAAGUUAAAAGAUUGAAGGUGGAAAUGGAUUCUUUCAGCCUGUAGCUUCUGUAGAGUGCUGCUUGAAAGCUCAGAUCAUGAUUCUUAGAUAUGCUUAGUAGUUGGCAGUACUUGUAUUUAACAGAAGGCUUGAAUUUGUGCAACUUGUUGGACCAGUUUCUCUUGUUCAACUGUGGUAAAAAGGAAAUCUGAUGAAAAUUCAAUAGACAUUUAUAUGUUUGGAAACUCCUUAUUUUCUCUUCAAAAAAGGGUCAAUGGUUCAAGUUAGUAUCUUACUUCUCUUCCCUUUCUCCUUCUUUAUCCUUUCCCUCACAGCUUCUAAGAAUCAAACAUAAUAUAAAGAUUGCUAGAAAAGGAAAUCGAGGAUAAAAAGGAAAAAGUGAUAAAUUGAGAAGUGCUCAUAGUGAAUAUUUAAUAUUUGGUAUCUUCAUCAUAGAGUGAAGAAGUUCAAUAACAUGAUGCAUAUAGAACUUUUUAGAAACCCUUAAGUAGGACAUGUUGUACAUUAGGAUUUUGUGGAGUCGUUAAAUGAAGCCAUACCGGUUGAAUUCUUCAAUUCCACUGCAGUUGGGCACAUAAUCGAUGGCAUUAUAUAGUCCCCAAGUGCUUUUUGAGGUGAGUUUAUGUGCAUAGAAAGGAAAUGCUAUUAUUGCAGACUUCUUGGCUGCUAUCCUUGCAUAUAUAGGCAUGUUCAGUAUGGGGGAGAAACUAGUAUUUUUGUGUUGGAAGGUGUCUCAAAUUUCUAAUUGGACUACAUUUCUUUUUGUAAAAGGAAUAUUAUAUAGAAUAUUUCUUAAGUUUAUGUGUGAUUGUAAUUAGAUUCCUUAUAAAUAUUCUAGGUCAUGAGGAGAAAAAGUUAUGAGAAAGAGCUGAGUUUGUGAGGACUAUAUCUGAUGGAUGAAGAUGUGAGGAAGAGUGAGAGAUACCUAGUGGAAUAAGAUGGCUCACUAGGGUGUGGAUGUGAGGAAGAGUGAAAGAUACCUGGUGGAGUAAAAGGGUUCGUGGUUUAGGAUGGAGAUACAAAGAGUGAGGAAGAGAAGCAAGUUUUGGAACCCAAUAAUUGAAUUUAUUUUUAUCUUUGGUAAUAUUCUCUCUCAUCCAUAAAGGUAGGCAUGAUUGGUGACGUCAAAAUCUCGUGUACCUUUAUAUGUGGAUUGCUUAAUUUUUUGUGUUCUUCCAUUAAUAUGCUUAUAUUGAAACUUCUGCAUACACAGCAUUUUGCAGCCCACUUUCCUUCUGUUGUUGCAUCUAUAAUGUAUGCUGGGGUGAUUUCUCCUAUGAUGAGCCCUUGUCAGUACUAAUAGUUAAGUUUGAUGUUUAAUCCACACUUGGCCUUUACUUUUUGCCUCUACUGUUUGAAGUAGUUCUAUUAUGCCCUCUUAAAUAGAGCCCUUCGAUUUCCAAAUGGAAAUAGAUUGUUUUUCUGUUUCUUUUUUAUUAGAUAUCCUGUCUUAGCAAUAGGGUGGUUUUUUUUUUUUUGGUUAAAUGAUAAGUUCUCCCAAUCAACUUAUUUCAUUUGCUUUUUCGGAGAUAUUUUGGCAUGUUAAUGCAAGUCUUUUUCCUCUUUCUUACCUUAUACAUACCUUAUACAAACUGUUGGAUAAUGUUCCCUCUGUUUGUUGAAGAAUCAAUCAGGUAAAGUCAUUCAGUUAAUUUGCAAAUAAUUUUUGUACUCAAAUUAAUUAUUGCCUCCCACAUUUCCCCUCCAGGGUCCAGCUCACAACCAGCUAGCAAAAGAGGUAUGUUAGAGAGAAAUGAUACUGGGAGUCCACUUAUGCAUUAAAUAAAUAUAUAUCAAAGCAGAGGGCCCCUCAAGAAUCUUUUAUAAGUUGGAGGGCUGAGAAAGCAUCCAAAGAAUAAGGCUUUUUCCUUUUCUUUUUAACACAUUUGGUCGCAGUGGGAAUCAUUCAUUGACUAGACUAAUGCUAAUGCUAGCUGCUGCUGCUUCAAACUCAAAGCAACAGAAGUUCUACAAAGUCUCAAUCUGAUCUAAUACCGAAGGUUUGGAAUCUCACCUGCCUCCUUUCUUUUAUCAAAUUCCAAGUGUUUUUUCUUCAGAUUUGUUCUAAAUUCCAAGAAAAUCUUAGAAAUUUCAACAAGAAAUGAUCCAGUGUCGAGAAAGGGUAUUUUUGAGAUAAGAUUGAUUAGAGUAAGGAGAAGUCAUAGAUCUUAUUUACUACAAGCAGAUGAUAGUCGACUGGUUAUUAGAUGAAGACGGUGACCUUGGACUUGGUAAAAUUUUUCUAGUUGGCCUGGGGGGCAUUGGGAAACCAAUAUUUACCUGUGUCUGGUUCAACCUGGAUCAAAGGAGCCAUUGCUUGAAAAAAAAAAUUUGCUUUUGUCGGAUGAUGUAUGGAACAGUACAACUAUCAACCGUUCAUUGACAUCAGAUCCUUUUGAAAUAGGAGCACAAGGAAGCAAAAUCACACUUAUUUGCAAGAGGUGAUCAAUUUUUUUUUAAAUUUAAAAAAAAUAAAAUCAUGAAUUGAAAUUGUAAGACUAAGAAGUCGUAAAAUAGAAGUAGUUAGGAAAAGAACUGCAAAGAUGUAUGGAUGGAGACAUGUCAAAUAGGAAGUUGUGGGAAUUGCUGCUGCAUAGCACUCUCUGCUUUGUUUUUGAUGUAUUGAAAUUGGAAAGAAGAAAUUAAUUGCUUUCAAGGAUGUAUGGAAAGGAUUCCUUUCGAAUUAGGAUGAAAGCCGGUGUUAUAAAGUUGGAUGGGAUGCCUUCACAGCCUUGUUUCCAGUAGCCAGGAAGACAUGGCACUUGACAAUAUUUCAUGAAGGUAACUUCUCUUUUCUGUGAUAUUUAAUAUUUGAUGCAUAGGUUAUAUUCUGAAGCGCUGAUCAUUAUACCUCUAAACUGAAUUUGCAGACAAAAAAAUGCAAGGGAAGAUGCUUCUUACAUGGAAAGAUUUUAAAGAGUGGGACGCUGGUAAUGAAAGAGGACCAAAGGAUUGAUGUUGUUUUGCUUAGUGAUUGAGCUACAGUUAUCUUCUGCCUUAGCUAUUGCAGAAGGCCUUCUUUGAAUUUCAAGGAUAUAAUAUAUAUGUACUCCACCAGGAAUUCUGCAGCCUCACUUCUUCAAGUGAAUGUAUUAACUCAUAAAGUGAAGUUUGAUCAUAAUUAAUCAAAUCAUGGAAGACGCAAAUAUUGUUUUUCCUAAAAAAUUUCCCGAAGUUUCUAGACAAUAAGACAGAUAUAUUGACCAUAGAAGUAUGGGACUUGUUUAAGAGCAUGACAUGCAUAUUGAGCCCAAAUCUUACAAGUUCUUUUAAAAAAAUAUGCAAUUUGCAUUUUUCCUAUUUGUUUGUUGGAUAUGAAUCCAAAUUAUGAUCUCUCUCUCCAAAUUUUGUUUGGCUCUCUAUGUAAGGGAUGGUGUUAAAGAACGUGAUAUGCAUAUUGAACUCAAAUCCUACUAACUUAAGGUUUAAAGAAAACCCUUUCUGGUGUUAGAGGCGCAUUGAGGUGAAAGUAAAGAAAUAUGUUAAAUAAGAAAAUGUUUGGUGAUUUUUUUAUAUAUAUAUAGAAAAUGACUUUUUGAGAAUUUGAUUUAAAAAUAAGAUGUUUUUAAAAAUAUAUUUUAAUUAUUAUUUUUUGUGUGCUUUUAGAUUUGUUUUAAAAAAGAAUUAUAUAAAAAUGAAAAAUGAUUGAAAAUAAAAUAUUACAAAUAAAAGUGAAAUUUAAAAAAUAUUUAAAAACUCAAGAAAUAGAUUAAAAAUAGUUCAAAUAGAUUUUUAUUUUUAAAAGCAUCAUAUAAUUAUUUUUUGAAUUUAUUCUCAAAAUUAUUUUUUACAAACUGUUUUCAAAAUAGAAAUAAAAUGAUAAUUUUAAAUAGUUCCUAAACUAAGACUAAGAACGCAUUUGAGAGUGAUUUUAAAAAAUAUUUUUAACAUUUCUAACACUUGAAUAAUAAAAAAUUUGUCGGUUUAACUCUAACUCCAAAGCACUAUUCGAAACUUGGUUUUGAUUAACCAAUGUCAAAGAUUGAUGUUCUCCAAACCAAAAACAACUAAAAAGAACAAGUAGCUAAUGGCACAGCAGCUUAGCCAAGCCCAUUGCGACUCCAUGGUGGUACUAAAUGAUCCAAAGGCCUAAGAUACCUAACCUAACUACUAUAUGACUUAUCCCAAGCUUAGCUGAAUCAAAAUGAUGAUAUUUUAUGAAUUUAAAAUUUUGAAAAAAAAACUUAUUUAAAGAAAAUAUAAAUUGAUAAAUGGUGAUUAACCAUGUAGAGAUGGGUUCACUCCUAAAUUCAAGGUCCAAAGUCUAUCAAUUUAUAGGAUAUCUGAAAGGAACAAUGAGUUAUUACUUUUAUAGUCAAAUAAGAGUACAUAUAUUAAUAAAUUUUUAUUAAAAAUUAUAAUGCAAUCUUUUGUUUUAUAAUUUAUUUCAUUGGUUUUCUUUUUAUACAUUAUUUAAAAGAAAAUUACUAUAUUUAGUUAUCCAAUGUUUGAAGAGAAAAUGGAAAAAAAUUGGUGAAUAAACUCCAUUUAAUUGGUUAUCCAUGGAAAUUUUAAAAGAAAUAAAAUUAAAUUAUCAACAAAUGCAUUUUCCCAAAAUUUUCUUAUUUCCUUUUACGAAAACAUCGAGGAAAAUAUUUUAAAAUUUUUCAUAAUGUUUUCAUUUUUUUUUUCUAUCUCAUUUUCAUGUCAUUCAAGCAUAUGAGAAUAGUGUUUUUUUAAAAUAAAAAAAUUAUCCCUUUUCUUAGUUUUUAGAGAACCCAAAAUACCUUAAAUAGUUUUUAUUAAAGAAACAAAAUAUUACGAUGAAGCAAAUAAAAUAGUUCACUAUUUUUUAUUGUUAACUAUUUGUGAAAUAUUUGUAGGAUAAAAUUAAAUUAUAUUUAAUUAUAAAUUUGAAUGUAAUUCGUUUAUUAUUUGUAAUCAAAUUAUAUUAAUUAAGUUGAAAAACAUUAUAACGACGUGCACCCAACCAUAUAGAUAUUGUAUGUUUUGAAUGUAAAGAAUUCUCACAACUUUAAAACACGUCUUCAUUGUUAAGAGGAGUUCAGAGCCAAAUGGAUAAACACCCAUCACAUAAUCAAACAAACUCUCACACUAGAGUUAGAGAUUGACUCCAACACUAUUUACAACGCCUCACAUCCAACCAUGUAGAUAUUAUUUGUUUUGAACCCAAAGGGCUCUCACAAUUUUAAAACACAUUUUCAUCAUUAAAAUAAGCUUAGAACCAGAUAGACAAAUAUCUCUCACAGUAUCAAACAAAUCCCCACACUAGAGUUAGAGAUUGACUCUCAUACCAUUUGUAACAACCCACAUCUAACCAUGUAAAUAUUGUUCGCUUUGAACCUAAAGAGGUCCUCACGACUUUAAAACACGUUUUCAAAGUUAAGAGGAAUUUAUAUUUACAUAACAUCAACAACUUUCUCCCUUAUCUGUUGUGGGAUAUCACAAAUAUAAUAAUAAAAAUUAUGGAUUUAUGAUAAGUAUAAUGAAUCUUUUUUUUUAAAAAAAUUAAAAGUGAACUUGUUUUAAAAUAAAGUCUUUAUUAUAUAAUUAAAAUUAGAAUUAUAAAUAAAAAAUUGUUUUACUAAAUUUUAUUCUUACCAUUAAGAUUUUAAAGUUAUGAGAAAGUAUUUAAUAAAUGUUUUGAUCCCCAUUCUUUCUAUAGCAUAAAAUAAUUACCAAAUAAAUUUUAAAAUAUUUAUGUCCACUUUCGAAAUAAAUGAUGAUUAAAAAAUAAUUGUUACAUUCAUAUAUAAUAAAAAAUGAUAAUAUUUUUUUAUAAUUUUAACAAUAACAUGUAAAAUUAUAUUAUUAAAUAAAUAUAUAUUUUUAUCUGAUGCAAUAUUAUGUAAAAAUAUUUUUUUUAAAAUUUAAAUGUAAGUUUAAAUUUUUUAAAAAUGAAUCAUUUUUAGAUUUUAGUUAUUUCUAUUGAAGCCUUACGUCACCGGGGCCACCGCAGUUGCCAGAUGGUCGCGCCUUUUCAACUGAAGAUGAUACCCGCUUCAAUCAACCUGCAAAAGACGUCCGGACAUGGGGUUCGGACACACCCUCCGAUGGUUUUGUUAGUCUUCUUUCUGAUAUUUAGUCUAUCCUCUUUUUUGGGGUAAGAAAGUUUACCUUCUUUCAUUGUAUGAAAGUCUUUUAUAGUGUUAGAAGCUCUGUCCUCUUUAAUGGUGGGAAGACUUUUUGGCUCGUCAUGAUGGUGCUGAGGUGGUAGCAGAGCCAUCAUUGUCCUGCAGGCGGCUGUCAGAAAUUGUGGAAGGGCUGACUCGCCAUCAUCCCUGUCUUUUAGCUCUGUAGGUGACGGGGUGUACGCUGUGACAGGUUGCCUGAAAUGACUCAGGAGAGUCCUGUCGAGCGUGCUUCUGACAAUGUAGACAAUGAUGGUCUACGUUUCACGACCCAGGUUUUUGGUUAAGACACUAGCACUGGGUCCGGACAAGAGAGUGGACUCGUCCGGGUGACAAGUUUAGGGAUGUCGUAUGCCCCCCUGAGGUAUUUCGGACAAAGAGUUGUCGUGCCACGUGUCCCAUGGAGGAAUGCUCUGUGGUGUCGCCACGUGUGCGUUUGGGGGUGGUCCCUACAAUUUCUAUUCUCAAAUGAUCAAAUUAAAUCCGGUCCUUAAACUUACGAAAAUGUCAAACAUUUUGGUCUUCCAUUAAUUCAAUGCAUAUAAUGUAAUAUUAAUGUAUUUUGUUACUUAAUAUUCGGUUUUAUCAAAAUACCACUUUAAAGUACAUUAAUGCAAUUUAAUGACAUUAUCCACCUAUUUUAUAAUAGGGGAAAUCAUAUAAUCAUACACCAAUUAAAAGAAUAUGAGAUUUUAGAACUUUACUUUUUCCUUUUAAUUUUAGUGUAAAAUGGGAAAUAAUACCAUCCAUUCAUGCAUUCCACUAGUGAUUUCAAAUUUGUUCCACAAUUACCUUAAAAGUAAAAGAUAAAAUACACACCAAUUUAAUAUCAUCCGUUGACAAAUACAUGUGCCAUUUAUUUUUAUUAUUUCUUACUUACCACUUGUCAUGUUCCCACCUUUUUGUUGUUUCAUUUUUUUCUUCUUUUUUUUCUCUCUUGCCACCAUAAUCCAUUAUCGCCUAUUAUAAUUUUUAUUAAUAUGUUUUCUUUUUUUCCUUUAUAUUCUUUCUAAUAUGAUCAUGUAUUUUCUCAUAAAACUUCUUUAAUUUUAUUUUUUCUUUACUCUCUAAUUUCUCCACAUUUAUUGAUUUUAAUUAUUUUUUGACAUAUUAAACUUAAAAUGAUAGUAUAUAAUAAAUAGUUAAUAUAAUAAAUUAAAUAAAAACAAAAAUAUAUAAUAGACAAAAAUGAAAAUAUUAUCCCACAAAGAAUAUACUUGAUGAUUUUAAAUAUUAAUUAUAAUAAUAUAUUUGAUAAAUUAAGGUUUAAAUUUAAAUUUUCUAUUUUUUUAUUUAGAAGUUUAUGAUAUAAGAUUUUUUUAUAUUAAUACUAAACAAAAGAUUUAUUUAUUUUGUAAAUUCUAUCACAUGUAAAAGUAAAAAUAUAUUUGUAAUACUAUUUUAUUAUUUACAUUAUUUUUCUUUUAAUUUUCAUUUUAAAUUUAUCAUAUCAAAAUCACAAUAAGUGAUGGUGCUUUUAUCAUUUUUUUAUGAUUUUAAUUUGGUUGUGGAUCUAACUUUUUGUUUGGUUAAAAUUUUUAAUUUUUAAUUUUUAAUUAAAAUAAAAUAUAAAAGAAAAUAUGUUUUUCAUAAAAAUAAAAAAAAUGUAUUUAACCUUUUAUAUUAAUUUCAUAAAAAAAAUAGGUACAUCCUUAAAAAAAAUAAAAAAUAAAAAUAAAAAAAAAGGUAAAUUCAUGCUUAGGGGAACCAAAACCACUAUCAUACUUAUCAUGGUGUAUAUAGUCCUUUAGGACCCUCAAUAAGUAAUCGAAGGUCCUCGCCCACCCCAAAACGAACUUUACAAUCCUAGGUAUAUCCAUUCUUAGAAUAACCAAGACCCAUAUCUCCAUUCUCAUGGUUCAUAUAUUCCUUUGGGGACCCUCGAGAAGGAAUUUGAGGUUGUUCCCCACCCUGGAACGAACAUUGGAACCCAAGGUACAUCCUAAAAAUAAUUCGGUACAUCAUUUACAAAAUUUGGUACAUCUUUCACAAAAUUUGGCACAUUUUUAAAAUAAUUUGGUACAUUCAAUCCAUAAGCUACUAGGACCUCUAUAUUGUUACCCAUGGUUCGUUUAUUUCUUUAGUGAUCUUUAAGAAGUAAUUAAAGGUCGUUCCCUACUUUGAAACCCUAAGUACUUCUUUAAGGAAAUUUGGUAAACCGUUAAGAAAUUUUGGUACAAUCAAUCCUUAGGCUAUCGAGACCCUUAACUAUCUUCUCAUGGUCCAUAUUAUCCUUUGAGGACCCUCAGGUAGUGAUUAGAGGUCAUUUCCCACCUUGGAACAAACAUUGGCACUCUUGGUACAUCCUUUACAAAAUUUGAUACAUCAUUUACAAAAUUUGGCACAUCCUUCACAAAAUUUGGUACAUCCUUAAAAAUAUUUGGUUCAUCCAAUCCUUGAGCUACCAAAACUGCUAUCUUAUUACCCAUGAUUCGUUUAUUCCUUUAGGGAUCUUUGGGAAGUGUUUAGAGGUCGUUUCCUACUUUGAAACGGACUUUGGAACUUUAGGUACAUCCAUGAGAAAAUUUGAUAUAUCCAAUCAUUGAGCUAAUAGGACACAUAUCUAUCUUCCCAUGGUCCAUUUCUUCCUUUGGAAACCCUCGGGGAGUAAUCGGAGGUCGUUCCCCACCUUGGAACGGACUUUGGCAAUCUUGGUACAUCAUUUACAAAAUUUGGUACAUCCUUAAAAAAAGUUGGUACGUCCAAUCCUUGAGCUACCGAGACACCUAUCUUAUUGCUCAUGGUCCAUUAAUUCCUUUAGGGAUCUUUGGAAAGUGAUUGGAGGUCGUUCCCUACUCCAAAACAGACUUUGGAAACCUAGGUACAUCUUUAAGAAAAUUUGAUAUAUCUAAUAAGGAUCUCGAUAGCCCGAUGAUUAGAUGUACCAAAUUUUCUUAACGAUGUACCAAAUUUUCUUAAAGAUGUACUUAGGGUUUCAGAGUAGUGAACGAUCUCUAAUUACUUCCUAAAGAUCCCUAAAGAAAUAAACUAACCAUAGGUAAUAAUAUAGAGGUCCUGAUAGCUCAUGGAUUGAAUGUACCAAAUUGUUUUAAGGAUGUGCCAAAUUUUGUAAAGGAUGUACCAAAUUGUCUUUAAGAUGUACCUUGAGUUCCAAUGUUCAUUUCAGGGUGGGGAACAACCUCCAAUUUCUUCUCAAGGGUCCCCAAAGAAAUAUAUGAACCAUGAGAAUUGAGAGAGGGGUCUUGGUUACUCUAAGAAUGAAUAUACCUAGGAUUGCAAAGUUUGUUUUGGGGUGGGCGAGGACCUCCAAUUACUUAUCGAGGGUCCCAAAGGAAUAUAACACCAUGAUAAGUAUGAUAGUGGUUCUGGUUCCCCUAGGCAUGAAUUAACCUUUUUUUUUUUAAGGAUGUACCCAAUGAUGAAAAUAUCGGUAAUCACAGAUAUAUCGAUACUUCGAUUUUACGAAUAUAUCAGAUAUAUUAGAGAUAUAUUGGCGGAUAUUUUGGAAAAAAAUAUCGGUAAGCUUAAAAUUGUUAAAAACUCAUGAAAAUGUAAGGAAAACAUCAUAAUAAUAUAAUUAGAAGUAUAAUAGACAUUUUAAAGUUAUUUUAUUGAAAAUUUUGAUAUAUGUAUAACAUGAUUUAUCAUAUUUGAUAAUAAUAUCGUAUGCAUCGAUAAAAAUAUGAAUUUUAUAAGUGUACAUUUAUUAUUAAAUUACAUAUAAUAUUAUCAUAUUUGAUUAUAAUAUGUCUAAUUUUAAAAUAUAUAUUAAUAUUAAAAUAUGAUCCAUUUAAUUCAAUUGUAUUAAACAAUAUAAAAUAAAUUAUGAUAUAUAUAUAUAUAUAUAUAUAUAUAUAUAUAUAAUUUUUUAAUAUUUAAUUAAUUAUUAAUGAUAUUAAAAACAUUAUGAAGAAAAUUAUAUAAUUUUUAUAUUUUUGGUAAUUAAUUAAAAGAAAAUUUUGUAUUUAAUUAUAAAAUAAUUAUAAUUAAUUUGCUCUUUAAAAUAUUCUUUUAAUAUUUUCUUUAUAUAAUGACUUUAAGUAUAUAUAUGUUUGGUGCACUUUAUAUUAUAAGGGUGAGUUAGUCCAGAUGGCAAGUGAAGUGAACUUUAAACCUUUUGGUUUGGGGUUCAAAUCCCCUCGGAAGCAAUUUCAAGCAAAAGGGAUGUACCUAAUUUUUAUGAAAUUAAUGUAAAAUGUUAAAUACAAUUUUUUUUUUAAUGAAAAAUGUAUUUUCUUUUAUAUCUUAUUUUAAUUAAAUAUUAAAUAUUUUAACCAAACAAAAAGUUAGAUCCACAAUCAAAUUAAAAUCACAAGAAAAAUUAUGAAAGCAUCAUCACUUAUUGUGAUUUUGAUAUGAUAAAUUUAAAAUGAAAAUUAAAAGAAAAAUAAUGUGAAUAAUAAAAUAGUAUUACAAAUAUAUUUUUACUUUUACAUGUGAUAGAAUUUACAAAAUAAAUAAAUCUUUUGUUUAGUAUUAAUAUAAAAAAUCUUAUAUCAUAAACUUCUAAAUAAAAAAAUAGAAUUUUUUAAUUUAAACCUUAAUUUAUCAAAUAUAUUAUUAUAAUUAAUAUUUAAAAUCAUCAAGUAUAUUAUUUGUGGGAUAAUAUUUUUAUUUUUGUCCAUUAUAUAUUUUUGUUUUUAUUUAAUUUGUUAUAUUAACUAUUUAUUAUAUAUUAUCAUUUUAAGUUUAAUAUGUCAAAAAAAUAAUUAAAAUCAAUAAAUAUUGAGAAAUUAGAGAGUAAAGAAAAAAUAAAAUUAAAGAAGUUUUAUGAGAAAAUUCUUGAGUAUAUUAAAAAGAAUAUAAAGGAACAAGAGAAAAAUAAUUAUAAAAACUAUAAUAGGUGACAAUAGAUUAUGGUGGUCGGAGAGGGAAAAGAAAAAGAAAAAAUGAAAAAAGAAAAAAGUAGGAACGUGACAAGUGAUAAGUGAGAUAUAUUGAUGUAAAAGAAACAAUAAAAAUAAAUGACACAUGUACUUGUCAAUAUGUAGUAUUAAAUUGAUGUGUACUUUGUCCUUUAUUUUUUAAAGUAAUUGUGAAACAAAUUUGAAAGCAAUGCAUGAUUAGACAAUAUUUUUUCUCAUUUUACACUAAAAUUAAAAAGAAAAAAGUAAAAUUCUAAAAUCUUUUUUUUUUUUAAUUGGUGUAUGUGUAGACUCCAAAAUUUGUCUCAUUUUUAUUUUACAUUGAUUUUGAGCCCAAUUUUGUCCAUAGAUUUUAAAUCCCAAUUACAAGUGAUGUUUUUGGCCCACUCACUAUUUAAUUAUUAGUUUUUAUCAUUUUAUAUUUUAUUUUAUUUUUACUAUUCUUUUUAUUUUUAUUUUUAUUAUUAUAUUAUAUUAUAUUUUUAUUUAUUUUUCUUUUUCCUUUUAUUUCUCUCAUUUCUCUCUUCUCUCUCAUCUCUCUCCCCUAUCUACCCUUCCAUCACUCCACGUCCAAGCCCUCCCCAAUUUCCACUCUUCAUCAUUUCUUUCCAUUUUUUUAUGGGAGAAUUGUGUUUUGGGCCCAGCUGGGCCCAAAAAUUAACAAAUGGUCCAUCUAACCGACCCAUUUAAGCUGAAAACCCAUAGAAAGUGUCAAAAUUAAAAAGAAUGAUAUGCACUUUUAUUAAUUCCAAAAAUAACCUUUGCUGAUUAUGAAAAAAAAAGAUAAUAAACAAAAAAAUCCAGGUUGGAAUUUUGCCCUAAUUUUGGUGUCUCUUCAGAUUUCAAGCCUAGAAGUCGUUUUCUUCUCUUCAUCCCGAGUUCCUCCAUCGCUUGCAUCUCAAUCUCAGCGGCUCUUUGGAAUUUUGCCCUAAUUUUGCUCUCUUCAGCAUUUCAAGCCUAUAAGCCAUUUUCUACUCUGCCUAGAGUCGUUUUCUUCUCUGCCUAGAAAUCGUUUUCUUCUCUGCCUAGAAGCCGUUUUCUUUUUUGCCUAGAAGUCGUUUUCUUCUCUGCCUAGAAGUCGUUUUCUUCUCUGCCUAGAAGCCGUUUUUUCUCUUCCUCCCGAGUUUCUCCAUCGCUUGCAUCUCAAUCUCUACGGCUUUUUGGAAUUUUGCCCUAAUUUUGGUCUCUCUUCAGCAUUUCAAGCCUAGAAGCCGUUUUCUUCUCUUCCUCCCGAGCACCUCCAUCGCUUGCAUCUUAAUCUCUACGGCUCUUUCAUUUUUUCUGGCAUUCGUCUCUCUCAAAAAUUUGAAUAAGGUAUGGAUUUCAGUUGGGUCUCUCUUGUUGCAUAUUUGAGGUUAGUAGAUUGCCUAAAUCUCGACCUAAAUUUUCUUAGUCCAAAUCUCUAAACUAUGUUCAACAAUAGUCGAAUAGAAAAUUUUAUUAACAAUUCCAGAAUUGCAUGAAGGGUUCAUUGUUGUCCUGGAACAUCUAACUGUCCUGUCAUUUUCACCUUGUUUCUAUUUUUUGGUCUUGGUAUGGAUUGAAGUAGAACAGAAAAUAAACUAACCAAGUCCAGGGAAUGCAUUCAACCAACAUGGGAAGUCAAAACAAAUAUAAAGUUCUCUUGAAUGAAAUGAUAAAUUUUCCACUAACAUUGCCUGAUAAGGGACACCAUUUAUCUGGCAUGCUUUCACAUCUCAAGAAAUUGAGACUUCUGAAUUCAAUCUUCUAGGGAAACAUGAAUUUAUGAACCAGUCUAUAUGUCAGCACAAAAACAGUCAAUUAUUGAAUGGGAACAGUAACUUGAACUCCGGAGAUCAAGUUGAACACAGUUUAGAGAUUUGGACUAAGAAAAUUUAGGUCGAGAUUUAGGCAAUCUACUAACCUCAAAUAUGCAACAAGAGAGACCCAACUGAAAUCCAUACCUUAUUCAAAUUUUUGAGAGAGACGAAUGCGAGAAAAAAUGAAAGAGCCGUAGAGAUUGAGAUGCAAGCGAUGGAGGUGCUCGGGAGGAAGAGAAGAAAACGGCUUCUAGGCUUGAAAUGCUGAAGAGAUACCAAAAUUAGGGCAAAAUUCCAAAAAGCCGUAGAGAUUGAGAUGCAAGCGAUGGAGAAACGCGGGAGGAAGAGAAAAAACGGCUUCUAGGCAGAGAAGAAAACGACUUCUAGGCAAAAAAGAAAACGGCUUCUAGGCAGAGAAGAAAACGACUUCUAGGCAAAGAAGAAAACGACUCUAGGCAGAGUAGAAAAUGGCUUAUAGGCUUGAAAUGCUGAAGAUAGCAAAAUUAGGGCAAAAUUCCAAAGAGCCGCUGAGAUUGAGAUGCAAGCGAUGGAGGAACUCGGGAUGAAGAGAAGAAAAUGACUUCUAGGCUUGAAAUCUGAAGAGACACCAAAAUUAGGGCAAAAUUCCAACCUGGAUUUUUUUGUUUAUUAUCUUUUUUUUUUUCAUAAUCAGCAAAGGUUAUUUUUGGAAUUAAUAAAAGUGCAUAUCCUUCUUUUUAAUUUUGACACUUUCUAUGGGUUUUCAGCUUAAAUGGGUCGGUUAGAUGGACCAUUUGUUAAUUUUUGGGCCCAGCUGGGCCCAAAACACAAUUCUCCCUUUUUUUAUUAACAUCUCCCCCAUUCCCAAUGCAAGACUUGUCGACCCCCCAUUCAAGCCCUAGGGCUUUUUUUGGUUUAUCUCUUCCAUUUCCCAAGGCAAGAAUGGUCGAGCUGCCCCCACUUUCAGUCCCCAUUUCCUCCCAUUUUUUGCUUCUUCAGUUUUUCUAACAGAGACACGGCAGCCCAACCCCGAAUUUUUUUUCUCUCUUUUCCCCCUCUCUACAACUCCACUUCGAUUCAGAGCAAGCACCCAGGGAUUCACUUCUUUUUUAUUUUUCAUCAUUCCAUUCACUCCACUACACCUCACCGACCAAACACCCCUUCAUUUCCUUCCCAUUUUUUUUCCUUUCAUUCUCCAUUUUUUUUCCUUUCAUUCUCCAUUUUUUUUCCUUAUUUUCUUUAUUAUUAUUAUUAUUAUUGUUUUCAAAAACUCAACCCCUCACCGUCGUCGGGACACUAACCGGUCGCCGCCAGCGAGCCACUGCCAGUCGGCGACCUCCUUCCCAUCUCAUCCGUUUCCCAUUACUAUUAUCAUUAUUAUUAUUAUUAUUAUUAUUCAUUUUUCUUAAUUUGAUUAUACUAGUAAUUGUUGUUUGUUAUCUUUGAAUUGUUGAAUUAAUAUGAAAUUUGAGUUAAUUUGUUGGUGGUGAAUUAAUAUCAAACUUAGGCUAUUUUUGUUUUUGCAUGGGCUCGUUCUGCGAACCUAUUAGCUGAGCAUAAAUUUAUGACACGUAGAGCACAUAAUUUCAUGGAACAAAAUGAGACUCGAAAAGCUGUAAAUGGAGCAUUGAACUUGUUGUAAGCCUACUGGGGUACAUAUUUGAUUUCUCAUUUAUAUUUAGUUUAUUUCUAUUGAUUUUCGUAAAUAUUUAUCUGUGUAUAUUUACUUGUAUGUACAGAAUUGAACAUCGAACAAACUAGAAAUUUUGUUUAAAUGAGAGGAAGAAUUCAGUAAAUGUGUUUUGAUGAAACAAUGAUUUUAAAAUAUUAUUUUUAAUAAAAGAAUUUUUUUUUUAUAUAUAAAAAUUCAGAAAAAUGCAUUCAGAAAAAUCCAAAAAAAUUGUUUUUAAUAGAAUUCAAAAAUUGUUUUUAAUGACAUUGUCCAAAAAUUUCUUUGUUUAAUAAAAAUUAUCCAAAAUUUGUUUUUAAUAAAAUUACCCCAAAAUUUAAUUUUUAAUAAAAUUUUCCAAAAAAAUGUUUUUCUUAAAUGAAAUCUUUUCCCUUAAUUAAAAUGGGAUUAAAAGUAUUUUUUUAGAAAUUAAGGAUUUAAUUUUUUUCUUUUUAAUUAAAAUUUAUUUUGCAAAUAAAGUUAUAUCAUUUUAAAUAAUUUGUAAAAAUCACUCUUUUAAAUGAAAAUGAAUCUAAAUACUUUUGUAAAUAAAUUUGUAAAAAUUCAUUAUUUUCUAGUAAAAGCAAGUAAAAAUAAUUUUUGUAACCAAAUUGAAAUUUUGUAAUAAAUGCUUUUGAUACUAAGUGUAAAUAACUUUUUUGAAAAUUGAAUACAAAUGAAGUUGAGAAAAUAAAUUGAUUCUUUUUUGUAAGUAAAUAAAUUGAAGUCAUUAAUUCAAAAUCAUUUUUAAUAAAAUCCUUUGAAAUUUCUUUAAAACUUUUUUUUAAAUAUCUUUUAUUUAUUUAAUUCAAUAAAUCAUUCUGCAUAAUUCUCUUAUUAUUUAUUUUGUGUAUUUUCAUAAUUAGAUUUCAUCAUUAUUUGUGUAAAUUGCUUUUCACUAUGACUUGUACAUGCUCAUUUGCUUGAUUAUUAAUUUUGGUAUCCAUGAUUAAUUAGUUAAUUGCCACAAUUGCUUCAUUUUAUUAGUAGAGACCCAACUUUAGGGACUUAGAGGGGUGUUACGGUCUUUACCGUACCUUCCCGAUAAGUAAUCUGACCCUCGAACCCGAUCCGGUUUUUCACAGACCACCUUUUCCAAAAUAAGGAGUCACAUUUAGGGUUUUUCUUUCUUAUUUUAUUUACCCUUUAAAAAUAAAACAAAAAUAAGUGGCGACUCCAAGUCAUUUUUCCUAAUCAAUAAAAUCAUUUUUCAAAUAAAAAUAAAGUUCGUCAUCGAGUGAGAAACGCAUGAGCCGAAAAUGCGGGGUCCACAAAAUGGCGACUCCACUGGGGACCAUGAAAGGGUCAAGCUUGAACAUAAAUUGAGGCAAAUGUGGCGUUUGAUUGGUCGAUCAGUGGGUACCCACCUCUCUUUGUGCGUGUGUUUAUUUGACUAUUGAUUACACAUUGAGAGCUCUUGAUAUCAUUACACUUGAUGCAUGCUUGGGUGUUUGUUUUUACUAGGGACAUUGACAUGUUGAUUAUGAUGAUUGUUUAUCUUGAUUGAGCAUUCCGAUUGUGGCGUUUUUCCCGUGCUUCAUAGCUAUAUUUGUUUGGGACAUUGAUAUGUUGAUUAUGUUGAUUGAUCAUCUUACCUUGCUUAGCAUAGUGACUCUAAUUUUGCCAUGUUUGUUCUAAUUACCUCACAUGUAUAGACUCACCAUUGUAUAUCAUUUGAUUUGACAUUAUUGAUUCUCUCGGUUAUAUAUUAUCUUGUUUAUCAUAGAGCAUGCUAUCAUUUGUCAAAUAUUCUUCUUGAUUAGCUUGUGUGUAGAUUUGGAUGAUAUAUACCUGUUUUGCAUGACUGUCUGUUGCAUGACUCCUCUCAUCCUGAUGUGACUGCAUGAGUUGUGUGUCUAUGUGGGACACACACUUAUCCCCUUAUUUCCAAGUCCCUAGUCUCGGUCGACAUUGUUUUCCUUGCUCUCGUAUUUGAUACGAGACUUGUUGCCUUGUUUGCUCUUCGACCGAGCUAGUGAUUAGGAAUAGGGUCUAGUGAUGGGCUAUAUCUAUGUUUGGGAGCAUUCUGGAGGUGAUCGACAUAUUGUUGCUGAUUGGAGUCCGAACUUUGAAGACUUGUAUAGCCCAGAGCUAGAUUUCAGGAUAUUUGUGUGGUCAGUGUGUUUUCUUUUAGUUUCAUAGGGUUUUCGGAUGCACCCACACCACUCACUGUGCACCUUAGAUUACCACUGAGUGUUGAGAGUUGUGAGAGCUUUCACCAUAGGAAACCCCCUAGGAUGUCGAGGCAGUGCAUGUGUAGAGGUGAUGACCACCUUGCAUGGAAACGCCCCGUCUCUUCGGAGACGUGUAGAGGGUUGCGUACCGCCGGAGAGUAUGAUCGCUUCUGCUAGGGAUCUUUUAAAGUCCACCCAUCUUAUUUUAGGGCCACCUUGACCUAUAGGAUGAGCUUAAAUCCUUUGAUCAGGACUUUCUUCCUUACACGUGGGUGCAUCUGAGGGCCUUCAAAGCCUCUUUAGUUACAGUUCGGAUCCAGUACUUCCUCAUUUGGUCUCCAGUUGAGAGUGCUUAGAGAUCAGUGCGAGUUUGAGUAUCAGUUGGACCACCCUUUAUUGUACGGUUUUGGUUUCUUCUUGUCGCUCAUUGAGUUUAGCACACUUUCUUCCUAGGACUUUAGAUAGUCUUCUUUUCUUACGUUGACGCAUUCUUUCAAUUUGUUGUCACUUUCUACUUGAUGUUUUGGGAUAUGCUCAUUGAUUAUGCUCACUUUUUUAUAUUCUUCACCUAUCAUGGGCUUGAUACUUCAUUCUUUGGUUGACUCGCCUGAUUCUAUUUUCAACCAGAUUUUCAUCACAGAAAGGUGAAAGGCAGGUUUUCACAUUCACACCAUUUUUGAGAUGUUCACCUUUAUCACCUAAUCAUUUUUCUUUAUUGAGCUUAGGUUGAAAGUGAAUAAGAGAUAUUUUGUUAUAGAUGGAGUAUCGAUCUCAUGACAAUGUUGUUUUUCACACCUCAUUCAUUUUUUAGAUCGUUGAUAGAAAUUCUUUAGUCACAUUUGUAGCCAUCUCACAGUGGACACCUUCAUGACCUUAGAGUUUCUGUCAUAUUUCCAAUUUUAGAUUGUCAUCACAGGACCAUAUAUCAAAUGAUGUGUUGUACUUUUGACUUGGGACAUUUAUUCAUUUGCACAUCACGAUCACUCUGGCCUGACAUAUCAUGGAGGAUAUUGAGUCUAUUGACCUAGGAUUAAGAGAUCGACCUAGGGAGUUCGAGCCUGUGACCCAUUUCACUUUCUGAUCAGAGCAGUGUCAUAUCUAUAUCCAUAUCCUGACUUUUCAGACUUGUUGACUUACCCAUUUUGAGCUUGACAUGACACUACCCUUGGUACCACUAUAUGACCUAGUCAUCCUUGUUCCCCUUUGUAUAUUACAGCACCAUUGCCUAUUCGUUCCAUCAUUUCCUUGAUCUAACCAGGUAGAGUCCGAGAUGGUUUGACCUGAGGUGAGCUUUGCAUGAUGAUAGAUAAAUCAUGAUGAGAGAGUGGUUUGAUUGCUUGAUAAUGUUGUUGAGACAGAGGGGUUAUCAUGGAGCAUCCAGAUUUGAGUCAUUGCACAUGACUUCAGAGAGUCGGGAUGAUUAGAGAUGGUGAUUUUAUGAGACGAUGGUGAGUGACCUAUGAUGAUGGAGUGAGGUUAUUAUUAGAGGACAUUGACGGUUAUCACAGAGCAUCAGUGAGAGCUUUUGCACGUUUUCAAAGGGAUCGCCAUGACUUUGUUGGACGGGUACCAGUCUUUAGUAUUGACCAUGUGAGAUCUUGAAAGCACGAUGUUCGAGGUUGUGGUCAAAUGAUGGGUGGCCAUCAUUUUAGGAGCCCAUUUACUUUAUCACCCUCACAUAUAGGGUUACUUGUUGCUAGCCCAUUGAGUCUCACACGAGCACGUAGCCUUUUCUUUCAUCACCUCAUCUACCUAUUACACCGGGUUGGGGACCCUGUAGUGCUUACAUGCUAUGAUUGGAUACGUCAUGAGUUCCAGACCUGAAAUACAUAUUCAAGCCUCAUUCAUCACUCUUCAUUGUGAUAUUUUCCUCUUUGACAUCAUCUCAUCACUUUUUCCAACAUCACAUAUCACUACUUGUGAUAUUCGUUCUCUGUCUUUUCUCUCAUCAUUGCUUACUCGACAUUAUCCUUGUUUCACCUUGAGUGGUGGUUUUUCACACGUCACUACAUAGAGGAUUGUCACAUUUUCCCCUCCGUUCGCCUUAUGAGCAGUGGUUCAGAGAUCUUAUUUUGAGAAGUUGUCUUGUUAGUGAGGAUUCAUGUUACAUCAGUACAUGGGGAGAAUUUAUUCAUUUAGCUAUGUAUUUCAUGGGAGAUCAUUCACUAUUGAUUAGAGUAUGCGCAAAAAAAAAAAAAAAAAUAGCGCAUUGUUCAUUUUCUUAUUCUUUAUUGGGCAUGUGUAUGGACGUACUAGUUUGCUUCUUUGAGUUCAUGUGUUAGAGAGAGUUCGUAUGAGAGCUUUUUUCUGAGAUUCUAUCUUGGUAUAUUUUGGGUGAGAGUAUGAGUCGCCCAUUCGUUUUUUGUAAGAGAGUCGAGCAACCUUUCUUUAGUAUUUUUGGAUCCUGGCUCUAUCCAUCAUCCCAUCUAUUUCGGAUGUAACUAUUUUCCAUGCUUUGAUGUGGGCUGACCAUCACUCAUUUUUCUAUCUCUUCGCCUUCUGCUAUCUUUAUUUUAUUCCUCCGUUUCACCCAACCUCAUCUGAUCUCAUUAUUUUCUCAUUUUGCUUUAUGUUUGACUUGGGAUUGGUACACACACAUCAUACUUGUUCAUUCAAUGUGACCAUUCAUUUAUCAUCACUAUUCGUGUGGGGACCCCUAAGUCCGAGACUCAUGACGUUUUCUACGCAUUGCAUCUCAUGCAUGAGGGGUAUGGGGAUUAUAUCAUUGGGAUAUUUGAGCCUAGUUUCCUUUCAUUUCUUUCACCCUAUUACCCUAGCCUACAUUACGUCCCGUGUCUGAAGACCACCCUGAGGCCAUUACUUCACAUUGUGUUUGACAGCUCACACAUGGGCAAUACUCGAGCUUGGUCGGAGAUUAUUUCUUGGAGCAUGAUGGACAGGGAGUUGAGAUGAUGAUUUACACUAGGGCAUACCCCUCUUAUCAGUGAUGGAUUUUCAGAGGUGUCGUUAUCUAUACUGGGGCAUAUCCCGCUCAUCGAUGACGUUUUCUUUCAGGAUGAUGCCUUACACUGAGGCAUAGUCAAUUCACUUAUUCACUUGGAUUAUGAUGGAUUAGGAGUUGUUGGAUGACCCUACACUAGGGCAUAGCCAUUUCAGAUAGCACUUUUAUUGAGAUACAAUCACUCUACUCGAUACUCUACAUUGGGACACACUCUACUCAUCGAUGGUUGAUUUUUGAGGUGACGUUUUAUUUUGAGGCAUAGUCCUCUCAUCGGUGAUGGACUUGGAUUUUUCAUUGGAGCAUAGUCACUUCAGGUGGUUUAUAUUGGGGCAUAGCCACUUCAUUCACAUUCAUAUAGCUCGGGGAUUUUGAUUCAUAUGGACUAUGACGAGAUGUUUCCAUUUUUGGCAUCAGGAGUAGGGAUCGAUUGAUUUGUUGAUGCGCACUAUCCAUGGUCCUUCUCAGCAGUUGUCGACUCAGAUGCACUGCUUUACACUGGGUUAUAGAUGAGAUGGAGAGUAUUUUUUCAUUGGAGCAUAGUCACCCUAUCAAAUCUUGUACACUGGGGCAUAUCCAUCUUUUGGAGAGAGAUUAGAUUGGUUCUUUACAUUGGAGCAUCUAUUGGAUGAUAUGGAUCAUUGGAUUAUUUGAUGUUGUGCUCAUUGCAUACUAGGGCAUAGCCACCUUGUUGGAGGUUUUGACAUUGAGGCUUGACUUCCUGUUUAUGAUUGUUGCUUUCGAUGGGUUAUGAAGCUAUCGACACCUCGGGUUUAGUCUUCUCGGCAUACUUGGAUGAUCUCAGAUACUUACAUACCUUUCAUUUCGUACUCAAACAUUUCACCCUGAUACUUUCACGCCUUCUAUCAUACCAGAGCCUGAUCGUCACCUUCUUUCAUCCUACACAUCCCACUGUGACACAUGACCUCACCUCUCUCUCGAUUAGGAAGAGAUGUAGAUCAAUCCUCGAUCACCUUGGUUGUGUUUUCAUACAUCUUUUGGACUUUAGGUUCAACAUCUUCCAUGAUAGCAGGGCCUGACAGAUUGUUGACUUAUUAGUGACGAUGUUUUCACUUUGACAGUUGGCAUGUUGAGUAUUGUUUUGCUUACUCUUUGCAUUUGGAGCACUAAUCAUUAUUGUUGUUAUUCACCAGUUAGUUUUGUUUUGUCAGCAUGGUGUCACGAUACAUGGUCCUGUUUGGCAUUACCUAUCUGAGGUUGGACAUUUUCAUUACAUGACGGAUGAGCAUAUUUCAGGGUACAAUAGUUUUGAGACGUUGUGUAUCUCAGUCUGUUCACUGUCACAUACUAGGCCAUACCCUCCUUCCCUGGAUCAUUAGACCUUCCACAGGUUUCAUUCACCUUUUUGGUCUAGUUGUUGACCCUCACGAGUUGCACACUAGGGCAUACCAUCCUUCCCUAGGAUCAUCGGACCAUUCAGAGGCUUCGUUAUCUUUCGACCUAGUCGUUGAUCCUCAUGAGUUGUCAUACUAGGGCAUAUCCCCUCCGGCUGAGUUUGUUUGCAUCAUUAUCUGAGUUAUCCUUUGGCUUUGGGCCACUUGAUUGGUCAUUGUCUUAUCUAUUAGAGUUUGGGGCCGCACCCGUAUCGAUCGGUCAUCUCCUUAUCAUGUCAGUUUAGUUUCCGGGACCGCACCUAUAUUGAUCGGUCAUAUUCCUAUCAUUUUUCAUGUUCAGUUUGAGUCGGGGCCGCACCUAUAUCAAUCGGUCAUGUUCCUAUCAUUUUCGUGUCAGUUUGCGUUUCGAGAUCGCACCUAUAUCAAUCGGCCAUGUUCCUAUCGCUUUUCGUGUUAGUUUGAGUUAAGACUGCACCUAUAUCGAUCGGUCAUUUUCCGUGUCAGUUUGAGUUUCGGGGCCGCACCUAUAUCGAUUGACCAUCAUCUUGUCUGUUUGAGUCUGAGUCAGGACCACACCUAUAUCAAUCGGUUAUUCAUCCUGUCAGUUUGAGUUUUGAGUUUGACUUUUUGGGACCGCACCUAUAUCGAUCGAUCAUCAUCUUGUCAGUUUAAGUUUGUGUUUUUGGGACCGCACCUAUAUCAAUCGGUCAUUUGUCGUGUUAGUUUGAGUUUGAGUUUUCGAGUUGGGACCGCACCUGUAUCGAUCGGUCAUUCGGCGUGUCAGUUUGAGUUGAGGUCGCACCUAUAUCGAUUGGUCAUGUUCCUAUCACUUUUUUUUUGUCAAUUUGAGUUUUGAGUUUGAGUUUUCGGGACCGCACCUAUAUCGAUCAGUCAUUUUCCGUGUCAGUUUGAGUUUCGGGGCCACACCUAUAUCGAUCAGCCAUCAUCUUGUUUGUUUGAGUCUGAGUCGGGACCGUACCUAUAUCGAUCGAUCAUUCAUAUUGUCAGUUUGAGUUUUGAGUUUGACUUUUCGGGACCGCACCUAUAUCGAUCGGUCAUCAUCUUGUCAGUUUGAGUUUGUGUUUUCGGGACCGCACCUAUAUUGAUCGGUCAUUCGUCGUGUUAGUUUGAGUUUGAGUUUUCGAGUUGGGACCGCACCUAUAUCGAUCGGUCAUUCGGCGUGUCAGUUUGAGUUGGGGUUGUACCUAUAUCGAUUGGUCAUGUUCCUAUUACUUUUUUUGUCAGUUUGAGUUUUCGGGACCGCACCUAUAUCGAUCGGUCAUCUUUCGUGUUAGUUUGAGUUAGGACCGCACCUAUAUCGAUCUGUCAUUUUCCGUGUCAGUUUGAGUUUCGGGGCCACAUCUAUAUCGAUCAGCCAUCAUCUUAUCUAUUUGAGUCUGAUUCGGGACCGCACCUAUAUCGAUCGGUCAUUUUCCUAUCAGUUUGAGUUUUCAAGUUGCAAUCGCACCUAUAUCAGUCAUUCAUCAUGUCAGUUUCAAUUCAGUUCGAGUUGGGAUUGCACCUAUAUCGAUCGGUCAUUCGUCAUGUUAGUUCGAGUCGGGACCACACCUAUAUCGAUCAGUCAUUCGUCGUGUUAGUUUGAGUGGGGCCGCACCUAUAUCGAUCGGUCAUCUUCCUAUCAGUUUCAGUUUGAGUUUCUGAGUCGGGACCGCACCUAUAUCGAUCGGUCAUUCGUCGUGUUAGUUUGAGUCGGGGCCGCACCUAUAUCGAUCGGUCAUCUUCCUAUCAAUUUCAGUUUGAGUUUUCGAGUUGGGACCGCACCUAUAUCGAUCGGUCAUUUGUCAUGUUAGUUUGAGUCAGGGUCGCACCUAUAUCGACCGGUCAUCUUCCUAUCGGUUUCAGUUUGAGUUUUUGAGUCGGGACCGCACCUAUAUCGAACCUAUAUCGAUCGGCCAUCUUCCUAUCAGUUUCAGUUUGAGUUUUCGAGUUGGGACCACACCUAUAUCGAUCGGUUAUUCGUCGUGUUAGUUCGAGUCGGGACCGCACCUAUAUCGAUCGGUCAUUCGUCGUGUUAGUUUGAGUGGGGUCGCACAUAUAUCGAUCAUUCAUCUUCCUAUCAGUUUCAAUUUGAGUUUUUGAGUCGGGACCGCACCUAUAUCGAUCAGUCAUUCGUUGUGUUAGUUUGAGUCGGGGCCACACCUAUAUAGAUCGACCAUCUUCCUAUCAGUUUCAGUUUGAGUUUUUGAGUCGGGACCGCACCUAUAUCGAUCGGUCAUUCUGCGUGUUAGUUUGAGUCGGGGCCACACCUAUAUCGAUCGGCCAUCUUCCUAUUAGUUUCAGUUUGAGUUUUCGAGUCGAGGUCGCACCUAUAUCGAUCGGUCAUCUUCUUAUUAGUUUCAGUUUGAGUUUUCGAGUUAGGGUCGUACCUAUAUUGAUCGGUCAUUGUCUUGUCAGUACCUAUAUCGAUCGGUCAUUAUCAUGUCAGUUUAGUUUCGACUUAGGACCAUACCUAUAUCAAUCGGUCAUUCAUCUAAUUAGUUCAGUUUGCUUUUGAGUUGGGGUCGCACCUAUAUCGAUCGGUCAUUUGUCUUGUUAGUUUGUGUUGAGUUUCGUGCUGGGACCCCACCUAUAUUGAUCGGUCAUUCACUUUUGUCAAUUCAGUCUUAUCUUCAGCAUAGAGGUCACAUAUUCGUCAUUUUCCUGUUUUUUGUGAUUUUGGUCAUGGAGACUAUGUCCCAUCUUUCAUUAUGUUUUAGGUGAUUUCAGUCAUUGCGACUGCGUCCCAUAUGAUUUUGGUGAUUUUUGGUCAUUACAGUCGCGUCACAUCCUUUACUUUAGAUUUAGGUGACACUAAUCUUUGCACACCUUGUCCUCACAGCUUCAUAUUUCAUCCUACUUUCGUAUAGUAGAUGAGUGAUUUCUUUCUUUGUACACAUUUAUUCCUGUGUUCCUUGGUGGUUCAGCUGCUACUCGAUUUCGACAUCGAUUUUCGAGUCACUUUUAAGGACAUUUAUGAGGGAGUCCAAAUCCAUAGUGUAUCUUUAAGGGCACCUUAAGAGUUUUUGUUCUUGUCAUUUUUGUAGGGUCUUAUAGCCUCUUUGUUCUUAUUUUAGUUUAAGAAAGCUCGUGUCAUACUGGGAGAAAUUUGGUGGUCUUUCUUGUUCUUCGGCAAAGUUCACUUCGUUUCGUUUGUGUAUACACUCACUUUACUCGUGGACUCUACCGAAGAGGGGCAUAUUUGUAGACCCCAAAAUUUGUCUCAUUUUUAUUUUACAUUGAUUUUGAGCCCAAUUUUGUCCAUAGAUUUUAAAUCUCAAUUACAAGUGAUGUUUUUGGCCCACUCACUAUUUAAUUAUUAGUUUUUAUCAUUUUAUAUUUUAUUUUAUUUUUACUAUUAUUUUUAUUUUUAUUUUUAUUUUUAUUAUUAUAUUAUAUUUUUAUUUAUUUUUCUUUUUCCUUUUAUUUCUCUCAUUUCUCUCUUCUCUCUCAUCUCUCUCCCCUACCUAACCUCACCUACCCUUCCAUUACUCCACGUCCAAGCCCUCCCCAAUUUCCACUCUUCAUCAUUUCUUUCCAUUUUUUUAUUAACAUCUCCCUCAUUCCCAAUGCAAGACUUGUCGGCCCCCCAUUCAAGCCCUAGGGCUUUUUUUGGUUUAUCUCCUCUAUUUCCCAAGGCAAGAAUGGCCGGGCUACCCCCACUUUCAGUCCCCAUUUCCCCUCAUUUUUUGCUUCUUCAAUUUUUCUAAUAGAGACACGGCAGCCCAGGCCCGAAUUUUUUUUCUCUCUUUUCCCCCUCUCUGCAACUCCACUUCGAUUCAGAGCAAGCGCCUAGGGAUUCACUUCUUUUUUAUUUUUCAUCAUUCCAUUCACUCCACUACAUCUCACCGGCCAAACACCCUUUCAUUUCCUUCCCAUUUUUUUUUCCUUAUUUUCUUUAUUAUUAUUAUUAUUAUUAUUAUUAUUAUUGUUUUCAAAAACUCAACCCCUCACCGCCGUCGGGACACUGACCGAUCGCCGCCGGCGAGCCACUGCCGGUCGGCGACCUCCUUCCCAUCUCAUCCGUUUCCCAUUACUAUUAUCAUUAUUAUUAUUAUUAUUAUUACUAUUAUUAUUAUUAUUAUUAUUUAUCAUUAUUAUUAUUAUUCAUUUUUCUUGAUUUGAUUAUACUAGUAAUUGUUGUUUGUUAUCUUUGAAUUGUUGAAUUAAUAUGAAAUUUGAGUUAAUUUGUUGGUGGUGAAUUAAUAUGAAACUUGGGCUAUUUUUGUUCUUGCAUGGGCUCGUUCUGCGAACCUGUUGGCUGAGUAUAAAUUUAUGACACGUGGAGUACAAAAUUUCAUGGAACAAAAUGAGACUCGAAAAGCUGUAAAUGGAGCAUUGAACUUGUUGUAAGCCUACUGUGGUACAUAUUUGAUUUCUCAUUUAUAUUUAGUUUUAUUUCUAUUGAUUUCCGUAAAUAUUUAUCUGUGUAUAUUUACUUGUAUGUACAGAAUUGAACAUCGAACAAACUAGAAAUUUUGUUUAAAUGAGAGGAAAAAUUCAGUAAAUGUGUUUUGAUAAAACAAUGAUUUUAAAAUAUUAUUUUUAAUAAAAGAAAGUUUUUUUUUAUUUUUUAUAAAAAUUCAGAAAAAUGCAUUCAAAAAAAUCCAAAAAAAAUUGUUUUUAAUAGAAUUCAAAAAUUGUUUUUAAUGACAUUGUCCAAAAAUUUCUUUGUUUAAUAAAAAUUGUCCAAAAUUUUUUUUAAUAAAAUUACCCCAAAAUUUAAUUUUUAAUAAAAUUUUCCAAAAAAAUGUUUUUCUUAAAUGAAAUCUUUUCCCUUAAUUAAAAUGGGAUUAAAAGUAUUUUUUUAGAAAUUAAGGAUUUAAAUUUUUUUUUCUUUUUAAUUAAAUUUUUUUUUUGCAAAUAAAGUUAUGUCAUUUUAAAUAAUUUGUAAAAAUCACUCUUUUAAAUUAAAAUGAAUCUAAAUACUUUUGUAAAUAAAAUUGUAAAAAUUCAUUAUUUUCUAGUAAAAGCAAGUAAAAAUAAUUUUUGUGCCCAAAUUGAAAUUUUGUAAUAAAUUCUUUUAAUACUAAGUGUAAAUAACUUUUUUGAAAAUUGAAUACAAACAAAGUUGAGAAAAUAAAUUGAUUCUUUUUGUAAGUAAAUAAAUUGAAGUCAUUAAUUCAAAAUCAUUUUUAAUAAAAUCCUUUGAAAUUUCUUUAAAACUUUUUUUUAAUAUCUUUUAUUUAUUUAAUUCAAUAAAUCAUUCUGCAUAAUUCUCUUAUUAUUUAUUUUGUGUAUUUUCAUAAUUAGAUUUCAUCAUUAUUUGUGUAUAUUGCUUUUCACUAUGACUUGUACAUGCUCAUUUGCUUGAUUAUUAAUUUUGGUAUCCAUGAUUAAUUAGUUAAUUGUCACAAUUGCUUCAUUUUAUUAGUAGAGACCCGACUAUAGGGACUUAGAGGGGUGCUACGGUCUUUACCGUACCUUCCCGAUAAGUAACCUGACCCCCGAACCCGAUCCGAUUUUUCACAGACCACCUUUUCCAAAAUAAGGAGUCACAUUUAGGGUUUUUCUUUCUUAUUUUGUUUAUCCUUUAAAAAUAAAACAAAAAUAAGUGAUAACUCCAAGUCAUUUUUUCCUAAUCAAUAAAAUCAUUUUUCAAAUAAAAAUCGAGUUCAUCAUCUAGUGGGAAACGCAUGAGCCGAAAAUGCGGGAUCCACAAUAUGGUUACAUGAUUUUUCCUUUAUAAUAACGUGUGAAAUUAGAUAGUAUUUUUAAUUUUUUUCUUUUUCAAAUAGUUCAUAAAUAAGCACAAGGUUAGAUGUUGUAUCCAUCAUUUUAGCAAUAGUUCAAAUAAAUACAAAUUAGAAAUACAUCUUUUAAAAAAAAUUACAAUAUAAUUUGUUAAAAAGUUAAUUUCAAAAAACAAUUGGCAGAAUCAAUAGACUUGAGUAGCUUUACGAGAGAGAUUUGAAAGAACCAUCUCCCAAUCCCACAUCGAGAAAUGAAGAAGUAAAACCAGUCUUCAAAUAAUGCCACCGGGAGGGCAAUAAUUGCCGAGCUUAGUAACGUGUGUUUUUAACCUGAGUGGGGGCUUCGAGAAUGGUUCGGCUGAGUAGAUAGGGCCUAAUUGCUGGCUUGCCCAUUCAAGUAGCGAGUCGAGUCCCGACGCCUACGAAGGCUUGGGUGGCGUGGCUCCUAGAGUGGCGGAGUUCGCGUGAGGCUGGCUUCACAAAGCAGCGUCCACCUCCUGCUGAUGAAUCUCCCCGUUGGGCUAAAAGCAUUCUUGUUUUAGUUAAUGACCGGGGAUUAGGCUAAAUCAAACUUUAUUCUUAAUUGAUUUAUAUUGAAAUUAAAUUUCUUUUAAAAUAUAAUCCUUUUUAGUUAUUUAAUAAAAUUAAAUUAAAAUUCCAAAUAAACUCUUGUUAAUGCAUCUAUAAGAACUAAAUUUUUAUUAAAAUUUCUAUUGCAAUCUUUUAUUCUAUAAUUUAUUUUCAUUGAUUUUCUUUUUAUAUAUUAUUAAAAAAUACUAUAUUUAAUCCUAAUUUGAAGAAAAGAUGUUGAAUACAACCCAUUUUAGUAGGUUGUCCAUGAAAAUUUUAAAAGAAUUAAAAUUAAAUUAUUAAUAAAUAUAUUUUCUUGAACUUAUUUCAUUUUUGAGGAAAAUAUCAAGGAAAGUAUUUUAAAAUUUUCCAUAAUAUUUUCAUUUUUUCUAUCUCAUUUCCAUUUCAUCCAAGCAUAUGAGAAUAGUAUAUAUAUAUAUAUAUAUAUUUUAAUAUACCAUUAUGAUGAAGCAAAUGAAAUAAUUCAACAUUUUUUAUUGAUAAACUAGAGGUAUCAAAAAUCGAACCACCAAGAGAAUGGUCUAUUUCAAGACUUAAGUAUAUAUAAAUUCAUCUCACCCUAAAAUAAAAACUAUAAAAAGAUAUGACCUCUAACUGAGAUAACCUCCAAACUUGCAAGAUGACUUGAUCGGCUAACCUAUACCUAAAAAGACGAGUCCAACUACUCUUAUCCUCAUGUACCCAAAAGUCAACAAAGUCUGUUGAUCUGUUGCAAAAAGUUUGUUUCUUUACGAUAAAAGUCACUCCUUCAUGCUCCUUCACAAGGAAGAGUAGCCAUAAAAGAGAAGCAUCCUCCCCACCCCAAUAUAUCCCCUCUCAACCUCUAAAAAUAACAGUAGAACUUGCAUAUUUGUAUUUAGAAUAUGGUGGAAUGAAAUUUCUAAUAUUUUCCUUCAAGAAUUUUAGUUUUUUCAAUAACUAUUUUUGAAAUAUUUUUAGGAUAAAAUUAAUAUUAAACAUUUUUACCUUCCACUAAUUCAACACAUAUAAUUUAAUAUUAAAGUUUUUUACUUAAUUUUUAGUAUAUCAAUGCAAUUUAAUAACAUUAUCCACCGAUUUUAUAACAAAGUAUCAAAUUAGAUAGCAUAAAAUUUAUAUUUUUUAAAUAAUUUUUUUUCAAAAUAAUUCAUAAAUAAGCACAAGCUUAAAUAUUGUUGUUCUUCACUUUAGAAGUAGUUCAAAUAAUACAAAUCAAGAAUACAUAUUUUUUAAAAUAAAUUACAAUAUAAUUUGUUAAAAAAUUAAUUUCAAAAAUCAAUAAUUUUCGUUUACAAACAUAUAAGAAACAAAAUGCAAUUUCAAUUAGUAAAUGGGGAUGAAACCUUAAUCUAUAUGGUUUUUUUUUUUGUCCUACAAACUAUUUCUAACAUUUUUUUGAAAGCAAAAUAAAAUAAUAUAAAAUAAAAUUACAAUAUGAUUUUUUAAAAAGUUAAUUUUAAAAAUCAAUCGACAAAAUCAUUAAUUUUCAUUUACAAUCAUAUAAGAAACAAAAUGCAAUUCCAAGUAAUAAAUGGGCAUUCAAACCCUAAUCUAGAUGUUUUUGUUUCUUGUCCUACAAAUAUAUGUACAAAUUAUAUAUAUGCUUUUUUUAGAGAUUUUAAAAAACGAUCUCGCAAUCCCACAUCGAGAAGGAAUAAGUAAAACUAAUCUUCAAAUAAUGCCACCAUGAGGACAAGACGUUAUCGGGUAUGGUAACGUGGGCUUGCAACCCGAGCGGGGGCUUCGAGGUCGACGGAGAUUGGCUCGGCUGGGGUUGGUGGAGCCUGAUGGGGUUAAUUUGUUGGCUUGUGCCCGCUCAAGUUGGAAGUUGAGUCCCGACAUCCAGGCGAAGGCUUGGAUGGCGUGGCUCCUAGAGUGGCGGAGACCGCGACCUCCCGCUCGUCCAUGGAAGGAAAACCAGCCGGUGCUCCACAGGUCCCAAGAACUCCUCCUCAGCCGCUCACAAUCUGACAUCCACCAUUUUUUACUUUCCUUUUCUUAACCCACCAUAUUUCUAUCCCAGCUUCUUGUUUUCCAUCUCCUUUUGCUUAGAAACAAUUUUACAUACGCCCUUCGAUCUUCACCAAUUCUUCUCGCAAAAGACAAAAUGUCUUCCAAAUAUUUUAAUGCAUAGUUUUUAGAUGAAAACAGACUUUUUAAUAAAAACUUCAAACCUUCAAUUCAAAAAUCUGCAUAAAAAAAUGUUAAAAUCUUCAUUAAGAAAUUUUCAAAAAAAAAAUGUUGAAAUCUUCUUUGGAAAAAUUUUCAAUUCUUCAUGAGAAUCUUCCACUUUUAAAAUCUUCAAUUCAAAUACUUACACGUUAAGCUUUCCACAAUUCUUCUAGAAAGUGUAAAGUGUAUUUUGAAAGCAAAUUGGCUUCCACUUCUAUAAAAUUGAGGAAUUUCUUUGACAUUAUCUUCUAACUUUCUACAAAGUAUUAUUAUUAUUAUUAUUUUUCAAUCUAGUAAUCAAAUUAAUUAUAAUAAUAAUAUUUUUUAAUUAUCAAAAUUACUAUAUUCAUUCUAUUUUGAAAAUUCUUCUUCUUUUGUGUGGGACUCAUGUGACAUGUUUCAUUAUCUUACUUUGAAGAUAUUAAUAACACGCAACUAUACUAUAUGUAUCAUAUUAUUCAUGUGUGGAUGACAUUUUUUUACACGCUUAAUGGUGUGAUAACUUUUCAUUUGUCACAAAUAUCUUAAACAAUAAGUUUUGUAAUAUAUGACAAAUUUUUAUUUAAUCACUAAGUACAUGCCACAUUUUAUGAUCAAUCGCUUAUUGACACUAAUAAAUUUUAUCCUUCUAUUGUUUGAUAAGAAAUAUUAAUAUUAGGUGGUAUUAAUUUAUAACUCAAUGCAUGAGUGGUAAAAAUAAUUUUUCAACAUAAGGUGAUAUUUUAUUGGGACAUCCCAUAUUGGAUGAAGGUAAAAGUUUUUUACAUUAUACAAGUAUGAACUCUACUUAAUCUUGUAAACGCAUUUUCAAAUCGUAAGGAUCCUUUUAAGUUUAAAGCAAACAAUUUCUAUACGAUUGGAUAUAAGUCGUAAUAAAUAGUAUCAAAUUCGGUCUCUUACUCUAGUGUGAAAGUUUGUUUUGUGUUUGUUUUGCCCCAUUGAAUGUCUAUUUGUUUGGUGGAACACAAUAAGUCUAUAUUUAAAUUAAUGAGGAUUCAUUUGGGUCUAAAGUGGAGAAUAUUUACAUAAUUAGAUAUAGGUCAUUAUAAAUUGUAUCAUUGUUUAUCAUCGACCCUAGUGUAACAGUUUGUUUGGCUCCAUAAAUAAUGCUUAUUUGUUUGACCUCAUAAUUCCAUAGGACAAAACGAUGAUGUUGUGUCUACAUGAAGGAUGUUUGUGAUAUCUCACAUCGAAUAAGAAAAAAAAGUUUUUGACAUUAUAUAAAUAUAGUUUCUCUUAACCAUAUAGACGUGUUUUAAAUAUGUGAAGACCUCUUUAAACUCAAAACGGAUAAUAUUUAUAUGAUCAAGUAUGAGUCGUUAUAUUUAUAAUGUAAUUGAGUUAAAUUAUUGAAUGAGCAAUUAAAUAAAUAUGAACUUAAUUAAAAAAAAAGUUAUAUCUUUCUACAAUGUAAAUAUAUAUAUAUAUAUAUUAUGAAACAAAAUUUUUGUUUGAUUAAAAAAAAUUAUUAUUUGGUUGUAUUUUCCAAUUAUCAAAAUACAAUAAAUUUAAUUAUUUAUUAACACAAAGAUGGUUUUUUUAUAGAGAGGGUGGUUUUGUGUUUUCUUUUCAGACAUAUAUUAAAUGACAUUGUAUUUGUCAAUAUAAAACUUCUAGAAGAAGCACUUUCCAUGGAGGAAUAUUCUCCCAUGUCCUUGAAUUUCAAUAAUUAUUAAAUAUUACAUCAAUCUUAGAUAAUAUGAUUCAUAUGCACAUGUUGCUAUGUCUUUUCUUAAAAUUCUAUAUUUUAUUAAUUUUACAAAGAAGAACUACAUGUCUUUCAAAAUAAUAAAACUAUUUUUUUAGACAAAAAUACUCUUUAUCAAUUUUAGUUUUUUUAUAAUCAUCAUGGGGCAUAUAUGAGAGAAUAUCUUGAAUAUUGAAAAGUAUUAAAGAAUUCUUCAAAGGUGGUUAAAGGGGAUGGGGUAAUACGCGUAUUUAGAAAAAAUGACUUUAAUGUAUUAAAAAUUACAUAUAUAACCUCAUUUGGACGUUUUUAUCAUUAAGCCUUUGAUCCAAAAAGUGUUUGGUGUUAAAAUAAGGAUUAAAAAUUUGUGGAAGGUCAAUUUUAUACAAAAAUUGUUUUAUGUCAUGGGUUUAGACUUUCGAAUUCUCAUUUUCAACGUCUCCUUUAGUCAAAUAAUCUCUUUUUAAAUACUAAAAGAUGUUUAAAGAUUAAGAAUAACUUAAAUAUUUGAAUAAAACUCUCUCUCAACCUAUCUAAAUAUUUUAUACUUACAAUUAAUAUCGUAUAACUUUAAUAUUGUGGUAUUAAUAUUAUACUAAACACAAUUUAUAUAAAGUGUUAACAUUUAACGAAAUCAAACGUGUACUUCCAUAUUAAUUUUAAGUAUGCGCUUUUAAAUUUUAUAUUUCUUAUCAUGUUAUAUUGUUGUCCAACAUCAUAAAUUUUGACUUUUUUUUUUUAAUAUAAAAAAUAUGAUUUUAAUAUACAUAUUAUUAUUUGUUUUAUAAAUUUUUAUAAUUUUUUAACAUUUUUAUGGGUUUUGAUCAAUUUACAUCUUAUCGAUUUUUUUCUAAUUUAUAUCCAAUAUUUUUGUAAAUUCAACUGUCAAUAUUCCACAAAUUUAUGAUAUUUCCAUCUUCCCAAACUCUCUAAUAGUUGCAUUAGACCUUCAAAUUAACUAUACUUAUUUUAUUUUUAUUCAAAAUUUUCUGAUUAUUAUAAUGAAAGAAUUAAUAAUCUAAUAAAUAAUACAAAGAGAAUAAGAUUAAUUAAUUAAUUAAAUACAUCAAUUAUGCUUGCUUGGUGAUUUGGGUAUUUAUCAUGUACAUAUUAAAAGCAAACUACUAGUUGUGCUACAAUUUUUACCUUUGAAAAACAUUUAAUUUGUUUAAAAAAUGUUUUUUAAAAAUCAUUUUUAAUUCUUAAAAACAACUAUUUUUCAAACUAAUAACACGUUUAAUAAUUAUUUUUGUUACAUUCUUACAUAACAAUAACGAGGGGUGACAAAAGGUGGUCAGAUGUAGGGGUCUCCAAAAAGCCCGCGGCCCGCGGCCCGCUUUAGGCCCGGCCCGGCCCAAGCCCGCCGGGCCCGAGCCCGGCCCGAGCCCGUUUAUGGGCGGGCCGGGCCGCGGGCCUAAAAUUAGGCCCGGCCCGUAGGCCCGCCCGUAGGCCCAGCCCGUAGGCCCGCCCUUAGGCCCGCCCAUUUAAAAAAAAAAACUACAAAAAUAAAAAGUAUUAAAAAAAAUAUUCAUUUCAAAAUUUUAUUCAUUGAAUGUAUAAUUACAUUUAAAAAUGUGGGAAAAUUUUACAUCACUACAAAAUAAAUACAUCCCAACUAGGUUGGCACCUAUUUAUUUGUCAAUCAUUUGUAUUUUUCAACCACAAAAAAUAAAAAUAAAAAUAUAAUAUACAUUUAGUCAUUAUUUUCUGGCGGUGAUGGCGAACUAUCAUGCAUCCAUGAAGAUCUUGAUAGUUUUAAAGAUUCCAUAUCGACAAGCAUCUCUGUUUCUCGAAUGGAAUCGUACAUCCUUUUUUCUGCAAUUUCCCAAUCUUUUACACAUAUCCCUGCUUCAAUAACGUCUGGCGCUAAGUUGCAUCGUUUUUUACUAAUAACUCUUCCACCUGCACUAAAAGCAGCUUCUGAUGCAACUGUACUCACAGGAACUGUUAGUACAUCACGAGCAAUUAUAGAAAGCACAGGAUAUUUGUGUUGAUGUGAUUUCCACCAUAUUAAAAUAUCAAAAUCUUCUUGAUCUUCAAAUGGAAUUAUAUCAGUAUUAAGAUAUUUAUCUAAAUCAGAUGUAUUAUUUGGAGAACUAUUUGUUGUCUUUUUUCGACUUUUCAACAUUUCUAGAGCUCCUUUAUAAAAAGAUGAGGAGUUUGUAGAUGUAGGUGGUAAUUUAUUAGUAUUAAUAUCAUUACCAUAUUUUUCUUUAUAAUAGUUAUAUAAAUUAUAUAAUAAUGAAUUUAUUUCAUUUUUAAUUUCUUCAAUUUUUAUUUGGUCAUUAAAAUAAAUAAUUGUUAACCAUUCAUCCAAAGCUUCAAAUUUCAAUCUAGGGUCCACAAUUAAAGCAAUAUAAAAAAUUAAAGGUAUUUCUCCCCAAUAUUUUCUAAAUUUUUCUAUCAUUGCAAAUAUUGUAUCAUUAAAUAUUUCAAAACUUAAAUAUUUUUGAAGUACAAUAAAAAUAUUAGUUAUUUGCAUAAUAACUCGAUUUGAAGUUGGAUAAUAUACACCACAAAAAAUGUUUGUUGAAGUAUCAAAAAUUUCAAAAAGAUCUCUUAAAAGAUCCGCAACAUGCCAAUCAUAAUCACUUAAUGCAUCAAUAUCUGCAUCACAAUCAUUGUUAAGUAAUUGUAUUUCAUAUAAUUCGACUACUUUUCUAUAUUUUGUAAUAUUUUGUAAAAGUUUAUAUGUGGAAUUCCAUCUAAUGGCCAUAUCCAAAUUUAUAUUUUUUCUUUUCAUAUUUAACAUUUUGCAACAAUCAAAAAAUAAUUCAUGUUUUGCUUGAGAACUAUUAAUACUAUAUGCAAUGCCUCUAAUUUUUUCCAAUGUAUCAUCAACAUUUUUUAAUCCAUCCUUUACAAUUAAAUUUAAAAUAUGUGCACAACAACGCACAUGAAAUAUUUUAGCAUGAUCAUCUUUUACUUGCCAAUAUAGUUUUAGUCUAUUUAUUGCUGCAUCAUUAUUAGCAGCAUUAUCUAAUGUUACUGUCAAUAUUUUAUCACGAAGGCCUAAAUUUAUAAUUUCUUCAUUUAUUAAAGCUGCUAUAUUUUUACCACUAUGUGGAGCAUUUAUUAAUUUAAAUGAAAUUAUUCUUUUAUUUAAUUUCCAUUCAUUAUCAAUGUAAUGAGCAGUUAUACAUAAAAAACCAGUGUGAGUUAAAGAUGUCCAAAUAUCAGAUGUUAAACAAAUAUUUCCUUCAAAAUUUGCAAAAAAAUUUUUUAAAAUUUCUUUUUGUGUAUAAAAUUUUUUCAUAAUAUCUCUUUUAACUGUAUUUCCAGACCAACCUUUAAAUUGAGGAUUAAUACCUCGUUGAAUUGUUCCUACAAAAUCAUGAGUUUCCAUCAUGUUGAAAGGUUGUUCUGCUCUUAUUAUAUAAUCAAUCAUUUCUUCACGACAGUUAGAUUCAUCAUAAGAAAAUGUUUUUAAAUUUCCACUUUCAUUUUUACCUAAUUGCAUAUAAUUUCUAAUAUCUACAUUAUUUUUAGUUUUACAAUUUUCGUGAUGUCUUUUUAAAUGACUUGUGCCUGCAUUUGAGCCACCAGUAAGAAAUUUAUUACAAAUUUUACAUUUUGCUUUUAUUUCUUUUUUAUUAUUUUCUAAAAUUAUUUCUACUCUAUCAAAAAAAUUCCAUAUAUUUGAAGUAAAUUUUUUGUUUGAUGAUAUUUCAUCACAUGGACUAGAUGAAGAAGCACUUGUUGUCAUAUUAUAAUUAUUGAUAAAAUAUUAUGCCAAAAAUAAUAAAGUAAUAAAUAUAAAAAAAAAUGUAACAAAAAAAUAAAGUAGUAGAGGUGAAGUAUGUUACUCAAUUAGAGAACCGAUGCAGAAAUUCCUAGCAAAUUUGAACUCUUGGAGCCACCAAUGCUUGUUUUGCACCACCAACAAUAUUGUAUAAUUUGAGGGAAAAAUAAAAAAAAUUGAAAUAUUGUAGAAUGUGAGAGAAAUAGAGAGAGAAAUAGAGAGAAUUUGAUGAAAAAAUGAAAAGGGAGAAGAUGUAUUUAUAGGAAGGUUUUUUUAAAAAAAAAAAAAAAAAAAAAAAAAAAAAAUUGGCCAUGUGACCGUUGCCCAACGGUCACAUGGCAGCUAGGAGCAUGGGUUGGACUGUUGGAGCUCCAACGGUCACAUGACCGUUGGAGCCUUUAAUUUUUUUUUAAAAAAUAAUAUACUUUAUGUUAUAUAUAUAUAACUAACUCUAACAUUAAACACAAAAGUAAUGUGGCUCAGUUGGUUAGAGCCUUUACUUUGAACCAUGAGGGGAGGGGUUCGAAUCCUCCCCUCUCCAUUCAUUUCUAAAGCCUUUUGGCUUAUUUAAAAAAGCCCAAGGCUUGGCCCGCCAGCCCGCCCCCAGCCCGCCCGCCAGCCCGGCCCGCAGCCCAGCCCGCCCAGCCCGCGGGCUCAUAGGCCGGGCCGCGGGCCGAAGAUUUUUCCCUGGCCCGGCCCGGCCCGGCCCGUUGACCAGUCAACGGGCCCAUAGGCCCGGCCCGAGCUGGGCCGCGGGCCUCCUAUUUACGGCCCGGCCCGGCCCGGCCCGCCCGUUGGAGACCCCUAGUCAGAUGAAUAGAAAAUAAGUUAAUAUGAAUUAGUGUUUGUUUAAAUAUUUUUUCGAAAACAUAGUAAAACUCUAUAUUUCCUUUUUAUUUGAAAAACUGAUGAAAAUAAUUUAUAUUUGUUCUUUAAAAAUUGUUUUUAAUUUUACUUUGUUUUUAAAAAACAACGAUCAAAUAGUAUUAAAAACUUUCAAAAACAGUUUUAUAUUUUUAUGAACAAAAAACUGUUUUAAAUCCCAUUUGCAAGCUAUUAAUUUUACAAUCUUUUUAACAUUCCAUUACCACUUAUCUCAUGAGGAUGCCUUAAAAGAGUUGGGAGGAAUAAGAGGGACCACUUUUUAUGGCUCCAUAUCAUAUAAGUAGGUGGUGCCCAAGGACUACGGCAACUAUGCCAUAAAAUUAAUGCAAUUGCACGUGGAAAACCUUGAUUAAAAUUUAAAAUGUAUUUAAUGCAAUUGCACGUGAAAACCCUUGAUUGAAGCGUAUAAAGAUUGAGAUAAUCUAUGAAUUAUUUAUUUUAAAUACUAAGAGAAAAUAUUUUGAAAACCGAAUUGGACGAAACAAAUUAUUAAAUAGACAUUUUUAGAACCGUUUCAACUUGUGAAUUAAGGCAAUUUCGUCCAAUUAUUUAUUUCACUGGUAGCCCUCGUGACUAGACCAAAUGCCUUUUUUUUUUUUUUAAUCCGUUUGAUCUCCCAUUGCUCAAGUGAAUACUUAUCAAGGGAUGCUGAUCUUCCAAUAAUCCAAAAUUUAAUUUUUAAAUCUUUCUUAAGAUAUUUAAAAUGGUAGGGUAAGUUGUCAAAAAUUAAUAAAGGGAUUUUAGUUCAAUUUUGAAACUUUUGAUUGAAUAUUACCUUAUAAAAAAAACGAAUUUAUCUUUAACACAUCUUUUUAAGUCAUUAAAAAAAUAUACUGAAUCAUUUUAUUCCCUUUAAUUACCUAAUUUGUCACAUCUAAUUUGUUACAACCCAAAACUUACCUGUGACUUUUUUUUUUGGAUUGGACCAACAACCAUAAAUCUUCAAAAGUCAGAUUCCUAUGCCACAAAUAAUGACUCUUGAAAUAUUGAUACAAUUAAAUAAUAAAAUUUUAUUUGAAUCUUUAAUAUAUUUCUUUAAAUUGAUAAAAUAAUAAAUAUUAAUAAAUUCAAUAUAUUAAAUAACAAAUUACAGGUUUUUAUCUUUUAUUAGCAGCAUUAAAUUAAUAAAUCUAAAUUAAAUGUGUAGAGACCAAAAAGUCCUUUCUCCUUUCUUUUUACUUCUGUUUACAACCUUCUCUACUCGUCAUUUCACACCAUCCCAUGCUAUAUUCCACUUAAGCUAACUUGCAAUUGAAGGAAUGGUGGGUGGGUUACUUUGUAUAGGUGUCAUUCACAAUGUAAUAACUAAUACACUAAUAGUUAGGCAUGCUUUUAUUAUUAUUAUUAUUAUUAUUAUUUAAUUUUUAUUGAAAAAAAAUUAAAAUGAAUCUUAACCAUGUGAAAAUAAACUACUAAAUAAAGGAAAAACAAUGUUUAAAAUAAAAAGAGAGAAGCAUUUUUAAAAUAUUUUAAUUGUUUAUAUAUUUUAAAUUUUUAUAAUAAAUUUUAAAUUAAUAAUGUAUAUAUUAUAUGUUUAUGAUGUUAUAUCGAUAUUACACUCCGAAUACUUUAAUCACUUAUUGGAUCAAUGAAUUUAAUUAUGUAAUUUUUUUGAUUUAAUAAUCGAUCACAUUUUAAAAAUGUUAUUAAAAAAUUAUACCAAGGUAGAAUAUACAAUUUCAAGAAUUGUUUUUUAUACAAUUCUAAAAUUUUGGUCUUAUUCUUUUCAACUCAAUUUAUCAUGUCUUUCUUCAUAGGUUUAUAUUUAAAAACAAUAUUCAAAAAAUGAUUUUAUUAAAAAUAUAAACCUCUAUGAUUAUUAUGUAAUUAAAUUUUAUAUUUGAAAAUUAUAUUAAAAAAUAAAUUUAUUAAAAAAAGAAUAAUUAAAUAAAACUCUACUUUGAAGUUUGAAAAAACCUGCACCUUAUUUGACAACUAUUUUUUAAAACAAUUCUGAAAAACAACUUUUAAAAUUUAUUUUUUGAUGUUUUAUAAAAUAAAAGUUUGUUUGAGAACUUGAAAUGUUUUUAAUCUAUUUUUAAUAUUUUGAAAUAUGUUUUAAAAAUAAAUUUUAUACCUAAUAUUUUAUUUUUAAUCCUUUUACAUGCUCAUAUAAUUAUUUUUUAAAACAACACAAAAAAAAGAAAAAAUAAUAGAAAACAACUAAAAUAUGUUUUUUUGAAAAUAUCUUAUUUUUUAUUCUUAAAAAUAAAAAAAUAGAAAUAAUUUAUAGUUGUCAAACACGUUUUUUUAUUUUUUGUUAUGACUCAAAAAAUAAUUACUAAAUAAACCCCUACUUUUUGUUUUGAAGUAGCAAUAAAUUGUAUUAAAAAAAUGUGAAACUAUCAAACACAUCCUAAUAAUUGCAUUAGAACUUCCAAUUGUAAAAAUUUAUAUUUCAUGGCUACUAUAUCAAAAGAAAUUAACAAUAUGAUAAAUGACAUCAUAAAAUUAAGUCCUCACCUACAUAAAUGAAGUGUGUAGUUACCAUGACUUCAACUAAUAAUUAAUCUUAUUAGUAAUGCUAAAUCAUCUUAAUACCUUUUUCAAAAUAAGUCAGCUUAAAGUGAAAAAUUUUAUUUUUAGCAAAAAUAAUUAAAUCAAAUACAAUUUUAUAUAUGUAUAUAAAUUAUGGGUAUUAUUAUAAUAUAAAAAUGUAUUUUUUAUAUAUAUUAAAAAGACAUCGAUAACUCGAUAAUUCGAUAGUUUUACUUGUACAAUUUAAGUUCCAUUUUUUUAUAUUUAGUUUCAUUUGUUUAUAUUAAAAUAUUCAUCGAUAUAUUUUUUAUAUAUUCCUAAAAUCGAAUUAUAUCGAUAUUUUAUGGAUGAUUAUAUAUAUAUAUAUAUUACAAAGUUGGACAUUUCGUGGAAUGGCGUGUGGCUAGAAGCGAUUGAGCAGCGCGUGGGCACAAUAUCUGAUUUUGUUAAAAUGGGGACAUCUGAAUUUUCUUCGUCGAUUCUGUUUCAAUUCGAAAAGUCUCUAUUUCUAAUAUUUUCUAUUUCAUUUUCUUUCACUCUCUCGUUUGUAUUUUAAUUUUAUAUGUUCAGGUGAUUUUCUUCUUUUCUCUCUUACAUAAAUUGCGUUUUCGGUGGUGGCUGCUCUCAGAUCUUUCCGAGAAAUCUCAGUAUCAAUCCAUAUAUAUAGAGAGGUAGAUCUGUGAAUCUGCAAAAAAACCAGAGAUCCGACAAUGGACAACGGAGACAUUGAAAACGCGGAAGACGAGUUCGGCGGGCAAAGCGGACGCAAAUACAGACCAGUCGUCUCGCAUGACCGCGCUGUUCUCCAAAUGUCCUCUUUGGAUUCCGGAUCUUCCUCUUCUCUCCCCGUCCCUCAAUCACCUUUCACGUAUGGUUUCUCUCUUUUUCUUUUCUUUUUAUUUCUCUCUCUACAUUGAUUUUCGGUUUGGUCUGAUCCUCCGUUUUGUUGCUGAGAAAACGGAGGAAGGAUAUUAGAAGGCAAAACGAAUUUGAAUAUCGGGUUCUUUUGUUGAGAAAACUUGGCUCCACUGAGGCGGAUAGGUUUUUCGGUUUUAUUGUUUCUUGAUUGAGAAAUCCCUCUAGGUCUGUGGAUUUGAAUUAGCCGGUUGAGAAAAUGCAUGUCGUGGAAAACUGAAGAACGAUAAGAAAAAUGAGGUUUUGAAUCUGCUUUAUUUAUCAUCCAGUUUGAAUUCAUCUUAUUUUUCUGUCAUUUUCGGGAAAUUGAGGAUAAAAGGAUGGUUAAUUAGAGUGCCGGGCCGGGGCGAUAGGCUCGCCUAGUUCUUUUUUUAUUUAUUUAUUUACUUUUUUAUUUUUUGUGUUCAUGAGACAAAAUUGUUUCACAUGUCUGAUUAGAUGGAUGUAGUUUGCACGGAUCAUGCCAGCAAUAUUGUAAAAUUCGAUUAGAUAUAGUAUUGCACACUAAAUAUAUACUUCAUGAUUGAAUUAAUAAACGCAGAUUCUUUUGGUAAGUUAUAAACAAAUUCAACUUGCAAAAGUAGAGGUGAAAUAGAGAUUUGGCCAGGAUCAAAUAGAAGGAGUAACAGUAGGAUGAAUUGAAUUUUGGUGCUAGGCUUACAAGUGUUAAAUUAGGUUUCAGGCUAAUGUAAGGGGAAGCUUAUUAACAUGAAUGACCUGUUCGUUUGAUGAUAUAGCAUGAAGAGACUUCAGUCUAGAAAGGUAUGGAGUUCAAAACUUCUUGGGGAUUUUAAGAAAUUCCCGGGCACUGUUACUUGGGCCAAAAAAAAAAAACAAAAAAAAAGAUCCCCAGGUUACAUAAGUGAAAUUAAGUAGUCCACCAUGCUGAUUCUUAACCCCAGCAACUGAAAAGGGAGACUGGUUAUAGAAAAUGGAACCAAAUGAAUUUUGAAAUUAAAAGCAGCCUGGUCAGAUGGAUUAAUUGUAAUUGUUGCAUCAAGAUCCAAUCUUUCUCCAACCUAUCAUCAUCAUCAUCAUCAUCAUCAUCAUCAUCAUUAUUAUUAUUUUUUGGGCUGCGCUCCAUGGUAGUGUAGGUAACAUUGGAGGUGAUAAGAAUACAUUGUUAUGUGCAUUCAAAUUGCACACACACAUGCCUUCUCGUCUUAGAGUGGUUAGGGGGUAUCUAAUGUUCCACAUUAUCAAAUCUACAGGGCAAGAAUCAAGAGGAGAAAACAAUUAGAGAAAUUUGUAUGCAUAGAUAUAUUUAUGUUUAUAAACAAUUCAUUUACAGCAUUGCAGAGAAGUUUCAUGAAAUGGAUAUUAUGAUUUAUAUAUUUGAAUUCUUUUAAGAGAAAUUAUGUAUGUCAUCUUUUGAGUAUUUAUAUGUUCUUCUUAUGCUAUGGCAGGAACCUUAAAAUAAGCAUGCAGGGAAACAUGAGUUCUGAUGCAAGAGAAGAGUCAUCUACUAAUCAUGAAGAACUCAAUGGUUCUGAAAGAGAAUCCAAAUUGGAAUUGUUCGGUUUUGACUCUCUUGUUAAUAUUCUAGGUCUUAAGAGGUAAUUGAUUGCUUUUUAUUGUUUAGACAGUUUCAAGUGUUGCAUUCUGAUCUUAAUAGAACCUUUUUUCACUUUACAUUUUAAUGUUAUUCCAGUAUGACAGGGGAGGCAAUUGCAGCUCCUUCGAGUCCUAGAGAUGGCGAGGAUGUUUCGAAUACACCUGGGCGUUCCAAGGUAUGCCAAUGAUUUUCAGCAUUUCACCAUUCUUCCCAUGAGUUUUCUUCUCCUGAUUUUCCAAAUGGAUUGGGUAAUACUGUUCAGAAUGUGUCAACAAUUUUUCAUGGUUGCAAUAAUCUACUAUGAUUUUCAUUAUUCUUGUUUUUAUUAUUUAAAGAUCAUUAUUAUGUUUGAGAGCAGAGGGGACAAUCGGAGAGGAGGAGAUAAGAAAAACAGAGAAUAACAAGAGAAAGGACCAGAGAAUAACAGAAAAUAAGGGUAAAGGGAUUACGGUCGUGUAGAGAAAUGGGCAUAUAGUAGGAUGAGGGAUCCGUAAAUAAACAUGAAAAAUGUUUGUAUGAUGUUUUAUUUUAUUUUUUCUUUUUUAUCAGAAUGUCUGUAUGGUUUUUUUUUUUGAUCAGAAAUGAAGAAGAUUAUAUUAAUAUAAGAACAAAUACAGGAGAGAAAAAAGAGACAAUAUAAAGAGAAAAAAACCAAGGGAAGGAUGAGAGGUCCUUCCUACACAAAUUAACCAAGGAAAAAACUCCCAACAAUAGAACUCUAAAAAUAAAGAGAAACCCCAUCAAUCUUCAAACUUUUGAAACACAAACCUCAAUCCAAUUGAGUUGUAGAAUGCUUAGAGGAACUCCUCUAAAAGCUUCAGUACAAGAAGCCCAUAGAGAAGAAUAAAACCGAAUCAAAUCCCAAACCAUCUCUUUCGUUCUCCCUUUAUCCUCAAAGAUCCUAUUGUUUCUUUCUUGCCACACCAUCCAAAUCAAAGUAAGGCAAACAAUUUUCCAAAGUGUCUUGCCUCUUAAUGAGUUCCCCAAGCCUUUAAAAGAAAUAACCAACAUGUCCUCAAGGCUCCUUGGAGGGACCCAAAUCAACCCUACUAGAUUGAACAACCUGUGCCAAAGUCCAAUGGUAACGGGACAAUGAAGAAAAAGGUGGUAAAUCGACUCUCCAUUUCCUUUGCAAAGAAUGCACCAUUGAGGACAGAGGGCUUUGUAGGGUCUUCUCAAUUGCAACUUGUCAUUAGUGUUUACCUUCCCAUGUGCUACUAACCAAGUGAGGCCUUAACCUUUGAAGGGACUUUUGAGCUCCAUAAGAACUUGGCCGGAAGGAACAUUAAAGGAUUUGAAACUUUUGACAAGGCACAGAAAAAAAAUUUCACUGAAAACAAGCCUGACAAAGACAAAGACCACGCUCUUGAGUCUGAUGAAGAAGGGGAAAAAAGCACAGAAUUAAGGGAGGACAUUAAUCUCUGAAGGAGAUCAAUUUCUGAAUCCGUUAGAUUGCGGCGAAAGUUAAAAUUCCAAGACAGUGGUAAGGAAUUGUUAAGGACAUUUGAGACAGUGAGGUUUUUCACAGAAAUAACUCUGUAAAGAUUAGCAAAUUGAGAGCACAAAGUUUGGUUUCCUCACCAAAGAUCUUCCCAAAACCGAAUUCUCUCCCCAUUGCCCACCACUAGGCGGAUAAAAGGGGAGAACUCCUGGAAAACUUGAGCAAUAGCCUUCCAAGGACAUCUGUGAGACCAUCUAACCACCGUGUUGGCAUCCCAUCCAUUAGGAUGUGUCCCAUAUAUACUCGCAAUAACCUUAUGCCAAAGACCGCUCCUUUCUCUAGGGAAUUUCCAGAGCCAUUUCCCUAAGAGGGCAAUAUUUCUCAUAGAAGUCUUCCCAAAGCCCAAACCUCCCAUCUUCUUUGGUUUACUAACAAUCUCCCAUCUGAUAAGGUGAUCUUUCUUCCCUUCCCCAGCCCCAGACCAAAGAAAAUCCCUUUGCAUCUUCUCAAUCUUUGAAGCUAUUGAUACUGGGAUUUUAAAGAGGGAGAGGAAGUAGCUAGGGAUGUGAGACAGACAAGACUGAAUUAAAGUAAUCCUCCCUCCCAAAGACAAAUAGGCCUUUUUCCACCCAUCCAGCCUCCUCGAAAUUCUCUCAACCACUGGAUCCCAAAAGCCUAUUGUCUUUGGGUUCCCUCCCAAAGGAAGGCCUAAAUAAGACAAAGGCCACUCUGACACUCUGCAAUCCAAAACCAAAGCCAAACUAGACAACAGUUCCUGCCUAGUGUUAAUACCCGAAAUGAUGCUUUUUUCUAAGUUGAUUUUUAAACCAGAUACUUGCCCAAAAACCAAAAGGAUAAUCUUGAGGUUUUGAAGAACAUAAAUUUGAAUAAAAGUAAAUAGAAGCACAAGAACCCUGAUUGGCGAUUAAAAGUCCUCUAUAAAAGACUAAAGUGAACUAGUGCCCUUAUAAGUCAAUCGAUCUACCAUAUUAAGAUUUGGGUGGCUAUCAAAGCUUAACCCUUAGCACUUUGAAAGGUCUCAUCUUGUUAUUUUGUUUGGGUGCUAGGAGCGAUUUAAUAUAAAGAAAUUGUGUAACUCUUAUUUUAUGCCUUUGUUUAAGUAUGGAAAGUUCUUGGUGGCUUUCUCAUUGUUUGAGGUGGAGUCGAGAUUAAGGGUAGCUUUUGGGACCGCUAGGAUGAGAUAUUGUAUGCUUUCUCCAAAUUAGUGGACUUUGGAUUAUCAUUGAAGCUGAACUGUUAGCGCUUUUGAAGAGCCUCACCCUAGCAGAUGGCUUUUGAAUUAGACACCUUUUAGUGGAAGGCAUUAGACGUCUUUUAAAGGAAGAAGAUUCUGUAAUGAUUAUUUCAUAAAUUUGUUUGGGAAGGGAAGGUUCUUGGAGGUUCUGUCAUUUAUUGUUGAAUGUAUAAUCCUUGGUUUUUCCAUUGGUUUAUUUGGUCCAGGGGUUGGGGGGUGUUAAUAUAAAGUGCAAAGUAUGCCCUUAAAAUGAAUAUAGUGCAUGUAAGUGAGCAUAUCCACCCAAUCGUUACAUAAGCUUCUUGUCAUUUAUCUAUUGUCUGAACGCAUCUUAUUGUUCCUUUGGGCUUGAAAAUUGACAAUGUAAUCAAAGCUUAUGCAUGCGGAUCUCUUUUUCCAUGAUGUGUAGAUACCUUUUCAUGUUUUUGACAUAUAUUUAUCAUGCAGGCUAAUGAUCUCAAAUUAGGGACAUUGAUGGGAGUAUUUGUGCCGUGCUUGCAAAACAUUUUAGGAAUUAUCUACUAUAUACGAUUUUCUUGGUAAAUCUCAUUUGCCUGAUGCUUUUUUGUUGAAAUUAAUUUCUUUUGUUUACAUUACUGUGCACAAGACAUUUGUACAAUACUUAAUAAUAAUAUUUAGCAAUACAAGAUUACAAGAUUAUUGCCGGUCAUGUAAUGACCUUAGAAGGCUGCAAAACUUAAGAGAGAUUGGUGUUUAUGAUCAUGGUAGUAGAAUUCAGAAAUUGAAAAUUUUAAUGAACUUGCAUGCUUAAGAUAGUUUUGAAUAUCAAAUUGAUUAAGAUGCUUUUAUAUCACAUCUAUUUUGAUUGAUUGGGUUUUAAUUGUAGUGUAAAAUAGCUGAGGGAUGAGUAGAAAGUGGUAGAAUAGGAUUUUGGGAGCAGGAUAAGACAGGGCUGUUGGAAUACUUUUUGUGGUUUGGCAAAAAAAAAAAAAAAGACAGAAUGAAGAAAGAAAGCAAGAAACAGUUCCUUGUGCUUCCGCCUUCUAAACAAAGAUUCAUAGCUGCAAAUUUUGAAUUCAAAUAUUAGUGCUUCAAAGGAGAGAUGAUUGCCCAUAAGCUGCAAAUUUGGUAUUCAAAUAUUAGUGCUUCAAAGGGGAGAUACCCUUUAUGGACAUAUAAAGCCUAAUAACAAUUAAUCCUUGCUGCUUAAAUGAAAUUCAGCUCAAUCAUCAGCUACAAUCUGGGUAAUAAGAGCCAAAAGGAGCUACCUUCAGGAGAAAGGUGCUAGCAGCUUACUUAAUUGUGUGAACAGUACUGCACUAUGGUAUCUGGGUAUUGUGGCUGCUGCAGUAGGUAAUGCCACUGAAACCCUUUUUUGGCAAGUCAGUACUUUAAAAAUUUCCAGCUUUAGAUAUAAAAUUAUAAUAUUAGGUAGUUUAACAGAUUGUGGAAUUGAAAACCGAACAAGCAAGUACCUAAAUAGCUAUUUUGUUGGACCUAAAUAGCUACUUGACUGUCAAGUGGCCUGUGAGCCUCGGUUUGGGUUUCUAAGGGGGGUGCGUCUUUCAUAUAAAAAAGGGAGUAUGCCUUUAAGCCAAGAUAUGAAUUCUGCCUCAACCUGCUAUGCUAAGGGGGAAGGGAGAAUUCUUGAAAUGAUUAUAUGCGUAUCAUGCUUUAUGGUAAAACACAAAUUUCUAGAUGGUGAAUAGACAAAAUUUCCCUAAAACAUGCUUAGCCAAACUGGGAAGUUUAGAUGUCCAGGUGACACCAAAGGGAAGGACAGAAUUAAAAGUAAAAAUAUAUUUAUGUGAACUCGGCUGGAUUUUUAAUUUAUUAUUUUUAUUGUUUUAUGUCUCUUUCUUUUGGCAUAUGAUUAAAGUCAACAUGAUAUCUUUUUUGCUAAACUGGCUUCAUUCUUUGUGAAAAUCACAGGAUUGUUGGUAUGGCAGGCAUUGGUCAGUCGCUUUUGCUGGUGUCCUUUUGUGGUUUGUGUACUUUCCUGACUUCGAUAUCAUUGAGUGCUAUCGCAACUAAUGGUGCAAUGAAGGUAGACUGGAUUCUUUAUUCUUAAGCCACUAUCAUUGCUUAUGAGAUGAUCUUUCUGUGAUUAUUUUCUUAAGCCUUAAUAAGAGAAAAGGCUUGUUUACAAUUCUAAUCAUUAUGUUUUGGAGGAAUGGUGCCUUUUUCUUAGAGACUAGUGUUGGAAAAUUUAUUGUACAAGCUCUUUCCCAUCUUCAUUCCAUUAAUAUGAUUUUCUUUAUUUUCCUAUCAAAAAUAAAAAAAAGUGUCCUUCACAAACUCUUUAUUGUUAGCUUCUUGGCUCUAAAACAUUUGUUGUAUACCAAUUAAAGAAAAUCUCAAUUGUCAGUUCCUUAUACACACUCUUGUCUUCUGUGAGGCAUCAUAGGAUCAAAUGAUUUAUUUAAGUUGGUUGCUUAUGUGGUUUGAAGCCAUUUUGAGUUUGAGAAUCAAUUUGGACAAAAGUGAGUUAAUUCCUUAGGGAGUAUGGAUAAUUUAGAUGACUUGGCCUUGGAGUUUGGUUGUAAGGUGGGUGCUGUCCUUUCUUCUUACUUGGUUCUUUCUUUGGGGCCCCUUUUAAUUUUCUGGUAGCUUAGGAUGGGUUGGAAGAGAGGUUCUACAAAAGGUUGGCUAUAUGAAAAAAACAAUACAUCUCAAAAGGAGAGAAACUUACUAUGAUUUGAAACACUCUUUCUAGUAUGUCUAUCUACUUCAUGUCUUUAUUUUCAUGCCGAGGCUGGUUAGAUUAAGAUUAGAGCAAAUCCAAAGGGAUAUUCUGUGGGGCGGUGGGGCUUUCGUGCAAAAACUACACUUAGUAAGGUAGAUGGAUGCCUGCUCAAGUAAAAGGAAGGGGGGUCUGUGUGUGAGGUGUCUUUUAGUGCUGAACAAAAUUUUGUUUUGUAAAUGGAGUUGGUGUUUUGUUGAAGAAAGGGGGCGCUUUAUAAACAAGUUAUCAAUGGAAAGUAUGGUGAAGAUGAAAAUUAGCAUUGUCGCGAGGUGAGGGAUGGACAUGGUGUUGGACUAUGGAAAGCGAUAAGAAGGGAGUGGGAUCUUUUGAGCGAUUUCUGCUGAAACUUCAACAUAAAAGGGUUUAUAGGGAUGAGGAAGAUAGGGUGGCUUUGGAAUGAGUUGAAAAACGGUAAGUUUUCGGUCAAAUCCCUCUAUUCUGCUUCGGAGCUGCUGACCCAGUUUUGUUUCUGAUGAGCAUCAUUUGCAGUUUGUGCGUGCCACCUAAGGUGGCCUUCCUUGCAUGGGAGGCGACGUGGGGGGACAACCUAACUUUGGAUUAGGUCUAGAGGAGGGGGUGUUUUUUGGCAAACAUAUGUUUUCUUUGCUAUAAUGAAGGUGAAUUCGUUGAUCACAUUCUUGUCCAUUGUGUAAAGACUAAGUUCUAUUGUAGUUGCUUUUUACUUUCUUUGGUGUGUCAUGGUUAGAGAGACUCCUUGGGUGACAUGCUUCCUUCUUUGGAAAAAAUCGCCAAAAGACUUGGAAGGUUGCCUCCUUAUGUAUCUUUUGGACAGUUUGGAAGGAAAUGAACAUGAUUGUUUUUGAUAAUGUGGAGCUUUCAAUCCAAAGAAUGAAAAACUCUUUUAUUUGUAAUUUGUGGUCUUGGUCUAGGGUGUUUGUAUAUGAGGGCCAAUCAAUUCCUUGGUUGGAAUCCCAUCUAUUUUGGCUUGUCUAAAUAUGCCUUAAAGUUUUUUUUUUUUUGGUAGGUAAAGAGAGUGCAUAUUUAAAAGAGAGCGUCGGAAAAAAUGCUCCAAAGUAUACAAGGAGUAUACAAUGGGCACCAAAAAUGACCCCAAAAAACAAAAAAACAACAAAAAAAACUGCACCCCUCAACAAGACCCUAUCCAGUCCAUAAAAGCUGCCAUAGAAUAGGGUUCAUGUGUUAUAAACAAAUUGGACCACACCCAAAAAUUACACAAAAAGUUAAGUUUAAUCCUACGAACAAUAUGUUUUUGGUUUUCAAAUGCCCUAUUAUUCAUUUUCUUCCAAAUUGUCCAAAAAAGGCACAAGGGAGUAGCUCGCCACACCUUCCUUUUCCUACCCACAAAAGCCCCGUGCUAACUUAUGAGUGUCUUUGCCAUUGAGGAAGGUAGAACCUUAAGGCACACCAAAAAGUGAAAAUAGAAGAUGCCAAACAACCCUUGUCUUGUUGCAAUGUAUAAGUGAUCAACUGACUCCUCUUUACAACAAAGGAAACAUCUAUUAGCUAUCGCCCACCCUUUCCUCUGGAUGUGAUCCAAAGUUAAAACCUUGUUCCAAGUGGCCUCUCAUGCCAAGACUCCCACUUUGGGCCAUACCCAAGAUUUCCAAAUAGCGUUUGAAGGGAAAACCAAUUAUCUUCCUGACUCCAAUUCUUUGUACAAUUCCUUAACAAAAAAUUUUCCAUUUCUCCCCUCUAUCCACACCAACUUAUCCUCCACAUCCUUGCACGCCCUCCACCCUUGCAACCUCAAGAGGAAUUGCUCCACGAUUAGCGAAUAGGCUCUAAAGUUAUCAAACAAUGCAGAAAGAGAUGAUCAAUAGAGUCUUCACUCCCCUUAUAUAAAACACACCAAUGAGGCCUAAGGGAUUUGAAAGGCUUUCUCAAUUGUAGCAUGUAGUUGGUAUUUACCUUCUUGUGUGCCAUUAACCAAGUAGAGACUUUGACCUUAGAUGAGACUUUAGAUUUCCAUAUAAAUUUGGUUUUUUUUUUUUUGGGGGGGGGGGGGGGGGGGGGGGGGGGGGGAAAAAAAAAAAAUUUGGGGGGUUAAAAAAACCCCCAAAAAAAAAGUUUCCCAAAAAAAAAUUUAAAAAAGGAAAAAACCCCCCCCCCCCCCCCCCGGGAAAAAAAAAAAAACCCCCCCCAAAAAAAAAAAACCACUCCCCCUUAAAGGCCCAAAAAGGGGAAACCCCAAAGGGGCCCAAAAAAAAAAAAAUCCCAAAAAAAAAAAAAGGACCCCAAAAAACCCAAAAGGGGAAAAUUUUAAACCGACCCCCCCCAAAAAAACAAAAAAAAAACCAAAAAGGGACCCCCCCCAAAAAAAAUUCCCCCCUCCCCCCCCCCCAAAAACAAGGAAAAUUAAAAAAACCCGGGAACCUUAAAAAAAAACCCCCCCAAGACCCCCCAAAGACACCUUAAAAAAAAAAGGGG